rnacentral:lncRNA from 1 species
CACCCUACUCUAAUAAGGCUUUAAUAUUUGGAGCUCAUAGGUGGGAGAUAAAAUAUACAUACUUACAAGACAUUUAUUGUAUAGUCAAACCAUGGAUCCAAAGUAACAAGUCAAUAAGUUUAAUCAAGAUGUGCAUGUGUGGCGAAUGAAUGGUGUAUGGUGAUGAUGGUGGUAACAGUGGUGAAAGUCUAAUUCUACUUUUGCUCUUUGAGGGGAUAUAUACCUUCCUUGCUUUUUGAAUAGUGAGGAGAAUGAGAUGCUCUUCAUUUUCUUUCCUCUCAGGUGGGUAUCUCAUACCCCUAAUUCUACUAUCGGACACUUGUCCAUUUUUACCUCUCGUCUCACUUUUUCUUUUCUUUCGAGGUUCCGAGCACUUGCUCCUUUUUAUUUCCUCGUAUCUCUCUCUUUUUUUAGAGCACUCAUCUCUUGAGAUGAUAUAGCAAGUGGUAGUAACAAGAUAACUUGAGCAUUUAUUUCACAGGGGAAAACAGAAAUAUUUUUAAUUAUUCUCUCCCAGGUUAGGAGUAGAAUAUUUUUAGGUGGUUCUGGAGAUGGAAAUGGAUGGAUAUAUGUGGAUGGUACUUCCGGAAUAGAAGUAGCAUAUAUGAGUGAACGUGCAAGUGAAAUCUUGAUUUAACCACAUGACAAGCUGCUAAGGGUCUACACAGCUUGACCACACUCAAUGCUCAUAAGCAGUAAAUAGUAAAUGUGUGGCUCAAAGUCUAGCAAGCAUGUAUAUAUGGCUGUGGUAGGAAUUUAAACUCUCAUCAUACAGGAACUCAUCAUGCAAUAUUUUAAAGAUUUUCAAAGAUAAAAUUCUCCAGAAUUCUAGCAUCUCUAGGAACAGAUAAAUAGCAGCUCAACCUUCCCAUAUCGUAUUCGUUAACAACUUAGACUUCAGAUCAAGUUUUCAUCCCACAAGUUUAGGUCUAGAUCAAGCUUUAAAUUAUAACAGUUAUGUCUAAACUUGAGAGAGAACUUAAAAUAUGCAAAUUAGGCAGAGCAACUAUUCAUCAUAACCAUGCUUGAGUUUUAUUAUUAAGAUACAGAUUAGCAUAGCCACAUUAUUUAUUUAUUAAACACACUAAGCAAAAGAUAUAUAUAUAUAAGCAUAAAAUCUUUAUUUGGUUUUUCCUGGUUUAUGUAUAUUUAUAUUCUAAAAUAGUAUAAGUAUAAAGGUAGAUAGAUAGAGAUACUUAUCGAGAUAAACGGGGGUGCUCUCCCCCAAGCUGAAUUUUGACGUAAUUUCUCUUGAUGUAGCUAGCAGGUGGCAGAGGUGUAUUUGAAAGUCAGCAGCAUUCUGACAGCGAUUAGAAUGUCCUCCAUCUGCUAGUCUUCUUGAUUCUUAAAUUCUGUAGAGCUCAAAUAGACAACAAAGCUUGUGGAACUGAUUAAGUGUUAGCAUAAAUAUCUAGCCUUUAUCAUGUUGAGACUCCUUAAUAAUUAUUACUCCCUGUUUUUAUAUUUUUAUUUUAUAAAGCAGAAAUGAAAUAUUUAUUUUAUUUUUAUGCCACCACAGUGAAUGUACUUAUGGGUUUUAUGCCACUCGUAUACUCACAUGGGGCUUACUGUUUUUCAACAUUUUUAUUUUCUUUUUAAAAUAGUAUGAACAUAAUUAACUAAGCAGACUAUUUAAAAUAACUGAAAGGGAAAGGAUAACUACCAAGUUUACCUCUUGGCAAGGCGUUCGGUGUUUUUAAGUCCUCCGAACGGGACUCUCCAUUUUCUCAAUUGUCCUGGGAUUCGUUGGGUGGCGUAGUCGGUACUUCCGGCAGCGCCUCCUCUUCAUGUAUAGUUAUCUUCUCUUUCCAUACCUGACUCGGUGCUUCGGUCUCCUCUGGAUAAUUCUGUUUAAACUCUACGUCUUCUGACCUUAUCACUUCUUGUUCAUAGUCUGCCCAUCCGUCCUUGAUGAUUUGCCUCCUCUUCUCUGAGGGGAAGUGCAUAUGGACUUCUCCGAUUCCAAUGUAGAUGAUUGCUUUAACGGUGCUGAGGAACGGUCUUCCAAGGAUGAUGGGUGGAUCGUAUUCAUCUUCUCCCAUGUCAAUAACCUGAAAGUCUGUGUAGACAAAAUGAUCGUCUAUCUUGACUGGGACAUCAGUUAUUGUUCCUUUAACUUCUCGAAACGUCUGAUCUGCCAUCUGGAGCUGAAUAUAUGUUGGUUUUAGGGGCAUGGUUCCGAACAAGAGCCGAUAGGUGACUGCGGCCAUUAUGUUGAUGCCCGAUCCGGUGUCGCAAAACGUCUUGUAGAAGCUGUAUCCAUUUAUGGAGCAGUAGAUGCUUGGCAUUCCUGGGUCGUCCUUCUUGGUCAAAAACGGUGACUUAAGUUGAUGAUCUUGGCCUCCAUGAACUGCAUUGACCAUCUUAGCUGACUCGGUCCACACUUGCUUGUUCCUGUUCCUCCUGUUGGUCCUCUUCCUUGAUUCACGUCUGGAUUGAUCUAGGAUUUGUGUAGUCUUGUUCCUGAAGAAAAAUGUCUCCUUCCUCACUUUGAUGUAGAAACUGAUAUUGGCAGCACUGCCGUAGAUGAUAGCUCCCGUGGUGUUCAAGAAUAGCCUCCCUAAGAUGAUAGGUGCCCUCUCAUCAUUUCCGGUCUCUACUACUACGAAGUCUGCUGGGGCAUACAAGGUACCAACUCGGACACAAAGGUUCCUCAAUAUUCCUUUUGGAAAACUUAUUGCCUGAUCUGCAAACUGUAAACAUAUGGUUGUUUCUAAUAAAGGAUAUGUAAAGAAUUUUUCAUAGAGUACCCUGGGUAUAAUGUUGACACUGGAGCCAAAGUCACAGAGUGCUUCUGGGACGUCCACCAUGCCGAUGGAGAUCGGGAUGACGGGGUGUCCUGGAUCUCCUCUCUUGACCGGCAGAAGGUUAGUAGUGAAUUCAGUGACGAGGUUACUCCAAUUACCUGCAUCAAACAUGUCUACAAGAUUUGCAGAUUCUAAUCCUUCCGGUUGUGAUGGUAUACCGGGGUUAGUAGCAGGAACAACAGCAGCUAUUUGAUUUAACUGAGAUUCAAUCAUUUUAUUAAAGCUAAUUUGAUUCUUGAUGGCAGUAGAGAAAUUAUCCAUUCUAUUAUUUAUAUUUUCUAGCAUUUUAUCAUUAGAUGCCAAUUUCUUAGAUAGGUUAUCCAUUAGCUUUCCUUGAUUAGACACUAACUCUCUCAAAGGUGGAAAAUUAUUAUUAUUGUUGUAAGAAUUGUUACCUUGAUAAUUACCUGAGUAGUUAGGCCUCUGUUGAUUCCAACCGUGAUUUUGUUGAGGACGGUUGUAGUAGUAGUAGUUGUUGUUGUUGAUGUAGUUCACAUCCUCAAGCAUCUCAGGACAGUGAUUGCCUGAGUGUCCAGUAUCUCCACACUCCUCACAUGUCAUGUGAGAGUCGUAGAUGUGCAUCACUUCCUUCUUAUCUCCAGCUCUAUCGUCGAGCUUCUUCAUGAGCAGGUCUAGCUUUGCAGACAGCAUGUCUACCUCCUUCAGCUGAUGCAGACCUCCCCCUCUCUUGCGUGUCUGGGUCCUCUCUUCAUUUCAGCUUUAGUUGGACGCCAUCUUCUCCACAAGAGCUGUGGCUUGUGAUAUAGUAAGUGAUAAGAAUGCUCCUCCAGCUGCAGCAUCCAUGGUUUCUCGGGCACUGUUGCCGAGCCCAUGAUAAAACGUCUGCAUCAAUAGCCAACUCUCCAUUCCAUGAUGGGGACAUUCUAGGAUGUAGUCUUGGAAGCGCUCUCAUGCUUCUGGAACAGAUUCAUCAUUUUGUUGCUGAAAACUUAUAAUCUUCGCACAGAGAGCAUUGGUCUUGCCCAUGGGAAAGAACUUAGCCAGGAAGUUUGUUGAGCAAAGUGCCCACGUAGUAUUCUUCUCCUUUGUAGCGUACAACCACUGCUUUGCUCUUCCUAAGAGUGAGAAUGGGAAGAGGCGAAGUAGUAUAGCAUCUUUGGAAACUCCUGAUAUGGUAAAUGUGUUGCAAAUCUCCAGGAAGUGUUGUAGAUGAGCACUAGCAUCUUCGUGUGCCUUCCUACAAAACUGGUUGGAUUGCACCAUGUUGAUAAGUCCAGGCUUGAGCUCAAAGUUGCCAUCGAUCUCUGCAGCAGGUCCAGUGCGGAUGUUGUCUGUAGUGGGAGCUGAGAACUCACGGAUUGAUUUGUUCGCCAUGGCUUCGAACUCUGAAGACAAGUUUCGGUGAUCUUCUUGAUUGGAUGAAGCUUCUUGCUGAAGUGUUGAUGAUCUCUUCUUGAACUUGGCUCUCGUCUUCUUGAAUAAUGCUUCGGGAUUGUCAACAAAAUUUCCUGGAAGAUGUCUUCUAUUCAUACAUUCCCCUGCAUAAGAUAAAAUAGAAAAAUAUUAGGGUAAAACUGUAUGAGAGAAUUAAUAAGCUCAAUCAUAUUAGUGAUGCGAAUGAUAACUCAAAAUCUUUUAUUCCAUUCCUGAUUAUUAAUCAACCUUCCCCGGCAACGGCGCCAAAAAUGCUUGUUGGGUAUUCUUAACAUCAUUACCAAAAGUAGACAGUUUUCUAAUUCUAGCAAUGGUGCCAAAAAUGCCAAACCUAUCCCUCAUACCACUUAAGCCAAGUUGUCAUCCCCAGCAUGACACGAGAGACGCGGUAUUGAAAUAUGCAAUUGCUCUUCUAAAUAAAUAAUGAAUGGGAUCUGCAAGCGCACAGAUUAAUACCGAUGUAGCAUUUUAACCGGGAAGUAUUCCAGGUAUCGUUAUUUAUAUUUUUACCACUGGGAAGGGAUUAGCAAUCAUCAAUAUUGAUUACAGAAUAGAAUAUGAGAUUGAGCAUCUAUCAUUGCAUGUAUAAUUGAGAACAGUUAUCUAACUCUUUUAUACAGGGAUAAGUGUCACAUAAAAGAUAUAUGAAGUAAUGAAUAAUGACAAAGAUAAUUAAUCUGAUCAGCCACAUAUAAAUAUGAUAAGCACCUCAAUUAGAUACUCUAGAAAGUUAUUAGCAUGGAAUUAGAACGAACUACAAGAAUAUUUCCUAUGUUAUUCUCAACUAUAUAGUCUAGCAUUAUCAUAGUUAGUGCAAGCAUACUUAGCAAUCAUUGUGAGACAAGACUACGCCCAUGCAUAGUGAUAUUAGCAAGGUAAAUGAGAAACAUAGCAAUCACUCCCCUAUAAUAAUUUUGCUCUGCCAGCCCAAUACACGAGAGGGGGACUAUAUAAGAAUCAAUGAAGCUGUCACUAUCACAAACUACCCCACGAUCUGGCAUAUUGGGUACAAUCGCAGAUAAAUACGGUAUAAGCACCACGCCUACACAAUAUCUAUCAUUUACCCAUGGAUCCAUUGGAUAAACGUUGUAUGAUCCUAAACAUGUAUAUAGAUCCAAUCUAACUAAGCCAAGUACAUAACUAUGAUAAACUAAGAACAAUAUAAUCUUGAAUAUAAACAAGUAGAGCAAAGUCAUAAGAAAUAUAUUGAAGUAGAACAAAGUCAUAUUCAUAAUAUUGAAGAACAAAGAUAAUUAGAAAGCAAUUAGAAGCACAAUUAGAGAAUUACCAAGAAUCCUCUUGACAGAUCCGGAAACCAAUCGAAGAUUGACUCCUUCUAGUUCUAAUCCUAUGUAGCUAUGCUAAUCUAGAUGUCUAAUUGAUGUGGUGGCUCUAAUCUUGAUCAGGGGCUUCUUCUCCCUUGAGGAAUAAUGAAUUAGGGUUGAGAGGCUCUCUCCUCCAGGGGCCAGGGGGUCUGGUUUUAUAGUCCCUUCAAGUGAAUAUGGGCCGUUGGAUCAAACCGACAUAGAUUGUAUGGUUUAGAUUCAUCCUUUAGGUUGGUGGAGAUCUCCCAGGAAGCAGAGUCCUGAUUGGACUCUCAGAGGGGGUGGGCGCCCAGGGCAGGAGGGCGGGCACCCUGCCUCUGGCCCCGUUUCGCCUCCGCUUCGGUCUCGUGGCUUCUGGAGUCUUCUAGAUGUAAGAUAUUUGCGUGGCACGUUAAUAUCUCUAUGUAAUCCCGACGUGUGGGCCUUUCUUCCAUAUUUCCUGAUAACCCCCUGCAGAAAUAGACAAACACCAAAACUCGUGGAAUUCUGUCAGAUAAAACCCUAAGUCUAGAUGUUGAUUUCAUUUGGAUCCUUUUCUUUAUUUAUUUGAUAAUUAAAUUUGAUACUUAAGGACCGUCAACAGACACCAUAUGAGUUGCUCAAUGGGAAGAAGCACAAUGUCUCAUUCUUUAUAGUGUUUGGGUGCAAAUGCUACAUCUACAAGAAGCGCCAACACUUGGGCAAGUUCCAAAGAAGAUGUGACAUUGGCUGCUUUGUUGGCUAUUCAUCAAAGUCCAAGGCAUAUAGGGUCUUUAACCAUGCCACAAACAUGGUUGAAGAAACAUUUGAUGUUGAAUUUGAUGAAACUAAUGGCUCCCAAGGAGCAAGUGAUAAUCUUGAUGAUGUAGGUGGUGAACCAUUGAGGGACGCCAUGAAGAAUAUGUCGGUGGGAGACAUCAAGCCAAAAGAAGAUGAUGAUGUGCAAGUCAUUGAGCCACCAUCCACCUCACAUGUACCACAAGAUGAAGACAAGGACAUGAGAGAUGCUCAUGAAGACACCCAAGUCACUCAUGAGCAAGCGGUGGCACAAGCACAAGAUGUUGAUGCUCCACAAGCAACCCCUCAAGUGGCGCCAAGAAGAUCAUCACAUCUCCUCCAAGAUCACUCUCAAGAUCUCAUCAUCGGGAGUCCAUCAUGUGGUGUAACUACACGCUCUAGACAUGCUUUAUUUAUUGAACAUCACGCUUUUGUGUGUCUUGAAGAUGAAUCAAAGACUAGAGGAAGCUCUUCGUGAUGCGGAUUGGAUCAUUACCAUGCAAGAGGAGUUGAACAACUUCUCUCGCAACCAAGUGUGGACACUUGAAGAGCGACCCAAAGAUGCAAGAGUGAUUAGAACAAAGUGGGUCUUUCGGAACAAGAAGGAUAAUCAAGGCAAAGUGGUGUGCAACAAGGCAAGGAUCGUGGCAAAAGGCUUUUCACAAGUGGAAGGUCUUGACUUCGGUGAAACCUUUGCACCAGUGGCAAGACUUGAAGCAAUCCGUAUCCUACUUGCAUAUGCAUCUAGUCAUGAUAUCAAGUUGUUUCAAAUGUAUGUGAAAAGUGCUUUUUUGAAUGGUUAUAUUAAUGAGCUUGUCUAUGUUGAGCAACCCCCCGGGUUUGAAGACCCUAGGUACCCGAAGCAUGUCUACCGGUUGUCCAAGGCUCUCUAUGGUCUCAAGCAAGCUCCUAGAGCUUGGUAUGAGAGGCUUAGGGACUUCCUCAUUGAGAAGGGCUUCAAGAUUAGGAAAGUUGACACAACACUCUUCACCAAGAAAAUGAAUGGGGAAAUCUUCACUUGCCAAGUUUAUGUUGAUGAUAUUAUUUUUGGCUCAACUAAUGAAGAUUUUUGCAAGGAAUUUGGUGAUUUGGUGUCCAAGGAGUUUGAGAUGUCCAUGAUUGGCGAGCUAUCCUUCUUCCUAGGAUUUCAAGUCAAGCAAAUGAAGGAAGGGGUCUUCAUCUCUCAAGAGAAGUACACUCAAGAUCUUCUCAAGAGGUUCAAGAUGAUGGAUUGCAAGCCAAUCAAGACUUCCAUGACAUCAAAUGGGCAUCUCGACUUAGAAGAGGGAGGUAACCCAAUUGACAAGACUCUCUAUUGUUCCAUGAUAGGAAGUCUACUCUACCUCACAGCAUCUAGGCCCGAUAUCAUGUUUAGUGUGUGUAUGUGUGCCAGAUAUCAAGCUAUGCCUAUGGAAUCUCACUUGAUUGCCGUCUAGAGAAUUCUUAUGUACCUAAAAUACACACCUUGCCUAGGCUUAUGGUAUCCCAAAGGUGCAAGAUUCCAACUUGUAGGCUAUUCCGAUUCGGAUUAUGCUGGGUGCCGGAUUGAUAGAAAAAGCACAUCCGGAGGGUGCCAUUUCCUAGGUAGAUCACUUGUCUCUUGGAUGUCAAAGAAACAAAAUAGUGUUGCUUUGUCAACGGCUGAGGCGGAAUACAUUGCCGCUGGUGCUUGUUGUGCACAAAUACUUUACAUGAAACAAACUUUGCUUGACUAUGGAGUAGUACUAGACAAAGUACCUUUGUUGUGUGAUAAUGAAAGUGUCGUAAAACUUGCUAAAAACACGGUUCAACACACCCGCACAAAACACAUUGACAUCCGCCACCAGUUCCUUAGGGAUCAUGUUGCUGAAGGUGACAUAUCUCUAGAGAAUGUGGGAACGGAAAAUCAAUUGGCGGAUAUCUUCACAAAACUCCUAGAUGAAGCUAGGUUUUGUAUGUUGAGAAAUGAACUUAAUGUGCUUGAUUUUUCUAACUUCACUAAAAAAUGAAGUUGUGUGUUGAAAUUUGUAAAUAGCUUUUGCUUUGCAUACCAUGCAUACCAAAACUAAAAUACAAAAAUAAUUGUGUGUAGGGCUAGUCUAACAUGGUUAAUGUAACACCCCAGGUGUUUGUCACUUGAUAAGUACUAGGUUUGAGCUCAAACAUGAAAAGUUUGAUGGUAAGAAAGAGGUCACAGUCGGUCUAUGAAAGUAAGCCCUAACUUGGACUUGGAAGAUGCACCUUUACUUACAUAUAGGCCCUUUUAAAAGGUAUACUUGGAUGAUGCUAGUGGGACAUUUUCCAUGUGUCUUAUAUCCAUCUCAAUCUAUAUUGGUCUCUAGAAAAGUUUGGUGAAGUUUGGAAUCAAGAAGUCACAUGAAAUGAUAAGUUAUAUCCUUGUUGGAAUGGCUCUCUUAAGGGAAUAGAAUCAUGGGUCAUGAACCAACCCUUCCAAACUUGCUCAUAUGACUCUAGAUAAAUUAUACAACAAAAGUAAUGAAGGGUUCAUGUUAAGCUUAUGUCAAGAAAAUGCUUCAAUUGGCCUAAAACCCCAUUUGGAGCUUUAUCACGAUACUGCUUUGACCAAAGUGAAAGUUUGACUUCUGUUACGGUUAUGAGGUUUGACCCUAAAUGAAAGUUGUAGUUUUGCUUCUGUAGAAGAAAUUUUAUUCAAGGGUCAAGAACCAAAGCAGCCUGCAAAUAGUUCAAACAGAGGCUCCAAGUUGGAAUCAGCUGCAGCCUUUUAUCCCUGAGAAAUAAUUCAAAGUCCCUGGAAAGUGACAGCAGCAAGUUAGCUUCUUGUGACAUUUUAUUAUCCAAAUUCAUAUAGUAACUCAAUUAGAUUCCUUAAUAUGAGUCGGAGUACUCUUCUUGAUGAAAGCAAUGCAUCAAGUAUCAUCAAAUUUGGAGUUCAUUUGGAUAUCUAAAAGUAGCUCCCAAAACAGCAAGUGGUUAUUUUAUCGCCAAACGGACGUCGACCCGUUGGCAUGCCGCGUUCUCGUGUUUUUGUAAAGCAACUCAAGUUGGUCCAAGAAUAAAAGUUGUGGAUAAUUGUUUGGAGAAGAGCAUACAGAAAGUUGCAUCAAGUUUGACAUGGUUUGGACAAUCAAUUCUUGGUUUCGCUAAUCUCCAUCAAUACGUUGACACUCGUGACUUGGCAUCUAAUUAUCUCCUAAUCUGUUGGUCUAAUGGCUUUGCACUCUUAAUCAAAGUUGGAGAGCAGGCCGAGGUGAGCAAACUUAAUUUUGAGCCCAUGAUCCAAUUCGGCCCAGGAAUGGCCCGAAUCGACGUCCCACCUUGGCCACUUUCAUGCACGCCACCUGUAACAGAACCGCCCAAUUUACAAGAGAUCAACUACGGAAAACUCCCGCCAAAGCAGUUGCUUUAACGUAAUCGAACUCUCGUAAACCUGGUAGUCCGUGAAAUCACAAGGGAUUUCAAACCAACCAUCAUACAAGCCAAGAUCGUAGUGAUUCAACAUAACAAAUCAUAUGUUACAUCCAUUUCACAAGUAGUUUGGCAAACACCAGAGUUCAAUAUAGUUAUUACAACUUGAGUUGAAAAGUAGCGGAAGCAAAGUAAUUUAAAACUAAUAUUGCCCUCAUUUCAAAUACAUGCUAGUAUCCAGGUCAACUCCAACAAAAGCAACAUAGAUGAGGUAACUAAGAAGGAUCAUGCCCCUGAUCUUACUCCUCUAAUAUGGUAGGAGUCAUCCAACUCUUGCAGUAGCCAUGAUACAUCAUAACCUGCAACAAGUGGGAAUAAACCCUGAGUACGAGAAGGUACUCAGCUAGACUUACCCGUCAUAAACCAGAAAUAAUAUGACACAAGGAGUAUGCAAGGCUUUAUUGGUGGAGCUAGCUUGACAACAAUUUUUGCAUAAAAAGCUUAAGUUGCAACUAAGUAACCUUUCUGGUAUUUAGCUCAAGUUAAUAAUCAUUAACCUAUCAUCUAGAUUAGCACCUAUACUAAAGCAAUCAGUUGAUUAAGAUACAACAAUAGUACCCAUAUUUGAUGUGGCAUUUCCAACAUCAUCAUACCAUAACCAUCCAAGUGUUCCAUAAACAUUACUACGAUGACGAAGCUCGAGUCAAGUGCUCACUGUCCAGGAGCGAUGGCGAUUCGAAUCGAUUUCUGACCAGCUAGCGAGUUAUUCCCCACACAAACCACACUUACCGGACAAAGUGAGCUACAGGUCACCAUAUUACACUAUCCAGGACCAAUUUGUGGGUUCAGCAGGCACCGCCAGUACCCGAGGACCGUUCCAGCGACUGAGGUAUCCAAGGUAUACCAAGGUUGCGCGCCGCGCCCUCGUCGUUCUCCUCAACCAUCACCAAUACAGCGCAUGACAGCUCGACUCCCGGCCCGAAUAGUGCUCAGGCUUCGCGGUCGGAACCACUUAUCCUUCCAGCUAAGUGUGGGGCAUGCAUUCAACAUGACAAGAGGGCCGUCAACGAUCGGUCCUUAAUCGACACAGGCGGGGAUAGAUAGGCACCCAAGACCUCCAUGUCUUGUUACUUCUCUAUCAUCGACCCGCCCGGUCUCCAAUUAUUCAUCCUUAUUUCCUGGUUAUUUCCAUGAUAGCAUAUAUAGCCAACCUUUUUAGGUAUCCACCUAUCUCGCUCAGGUGAUAGGGCAUCACCUGGCUUCUACCGGUCUAAGCAUGACUAAGCAUUUAGAUUCGAUCCCGAAUCUACAUAGGAUUAUAGGUAUAUUUGCUGGACAAGGAGUGAUAUAUGCAGCAAGGGUUUCACCCAACUCCUAUACUUAAUGCAACAAUACAUAUAUAACAUAUAUUCUCACUUGCAUUCAAAAGUAGUAGGAGACUUAUAAUGCUCCGAGGCUUGCCUGGGAUCAAUACUGAGUCAGUUCAGUUAGUUGCUCCGUCUUGGUAACACCUAAGGUCACAACACUUUUUAGUCCUUCCACCUUCGGGAUGGGUCCACCCAACACCAUAUUCGGGUUUGUUCCCACACCAAGUCCUUCACGUGAUUCAAGAUGAGAUGCAAGAUGCAAGUGCAUGAAUAUAAAAAAUAAUAACACAACAUGCAUCACAUAAAAGUAUGCAAGACACAGGCAUCCAAAGUUAUUUAGCUAACAUCACACAACCAAUUAUAUAGAGCAAACAUAUCAAUCAUAACACAAGUUUAACAGGGUUACAAGUGUAUUACUUAACCACUACUAAAGACAUGAAUCAUACAUAGCUCACACAAAGUAAAGCAAUCAAGCAUUCAUGUAUUUCAGCAAUUAUGGACAUACAUGCAACAAUUCAGUAAAUAAAUCAUAACUGGAGUUACACAUCUCCAACAACUAUGCAAUAGGACAUUCUGGAAAGAUUAUCAAAUUAUCUACAAUUCAUCUUUAAUCAUAUUAGCAUGAUUAACAAGUUAACCAAGUCAAACAUGCAUGACCAUAUAAUCUGGUCCAGGAACUUACAGAGAACAAGCAUUUCAAGGGAUGAACUUCAUACUACUGUAACUCAUAAACAACUUAGCCAAAUGAUAUGCAACUUUACCACAAGAUAAGUUAAUAAAUUAUCUACAUCUUUUAUAUAGACAAGUUGCACAGCAAACAUCAUUUAUAUCAUGGAAUUAGUUGCAUAAAUAAAACUGCUCAUGCUGUCCAAACAGUAGAGGUACAAUUACACACAGAAAACUGAUUGGCACUUCAAAGCAGCAUAACUGGAGUUGUAGACCUCCAGCAAACAUGAUUCUUAUAUAUUUGGACAGCUCAUAAAGUUACCUACAACUUUCUUAUUAUCAUCUAAAUAUGAAUCUACAGUUAACAAGGUCAAUUAACCCCAUAAAGACAUCUCCGUCCAAAACAUGGAUAGAAUCUGUCAUGCCACAUUAAAUAGCUAUAACUUUAAUCUAGAGCUAAAUUUACCACUAACAAGGUCUUACAUUACCAACAAUGCAAUCCUGUCUGGGUUUAGAUAGAAACUGGAACAGUACUUUAAACUACUAUAACUAAACAUGUGCUUAACCAAAAAUUUUGCUAUUUAUCUUUUUGGAAAGCUUAUGAAAAGUAAUAAAACAUAUAUAUUUUCAUCCAGGCAAGAUUCACAACUUAACUGAGCCAAACAAUUCAAACAUGCAGAUCCACUCAGAAUAGGAGCAAAGGAACACAGGACAUUUGUUAUUUUCAUAACUCUUAAUCUAUCAGUCCUAAAUUCAUGAAACUUUUACCAGAUAUCAAACAUCAUGUGCAAAGCAUGUCACAAUAUUUUCACAUUUAUUUGAGGAAUAACACAGCAGUUAUAAAGAAGACAAAUAUAACAAGCAAUUAAAACCUAACUGCAUAAAUCUAUUUUUACGACUAAGACAUCAAACUAAACCACGCCAUAUUAUAGAUCUACUGCAUAGAGAAAUUUAUAAGGAUUCCAAAAAGUCCACAUUUGCUAUUUUCAGACUUUUCUAUGAAUUCUAUGCAUUAACAAAGUUCAUACAAGAAAUCUGCAAAAACAAAGGAUAAAGGAAAACGACUUUGCACGGGGAACCCUGAGUUUUCCACGAAUCACGCGAUAGACCAGAAACACUAUUCAUAUGAGUCAUUGACUUCGCAGAAAACUCCCUGGCUUGCGUCAAAUUUAAACCCGAGGUCUCUGGUCGCGAGGAAAACAGGGGACCUCGCCGGAGGUUCCUGUUCCGGCUGGCUGAGGCCUCGUCGGCGGCGAUGGAGGGGUGGGGAAGCACCAGGAGGUCAACGCGCAUCUGCUGGUCGUCUUGGAUGGCCGGGAGAGAGCCUGUGGCGGCCUAGCCACGACAGCAGGCGGCGACGGUGGACUGCUCCCGGCGGUGGCGGUGCUCCGGCGACGGUUGGGGCCGGAAAUGGAGCCCAGUGCGGUCAAAAGGAUACGGCGGUGGCGCUAAGACACUUAGCUUGGGCUAAGAAGGCGCGAAGUAGCGUGUAACGCAGCGGGUGCGAGCUCAAGCAGUCGGCCAUGGUGGACGCGGCGGCGUUCCCGCGGUAGAGCGCGAGGAGAAGUGCGCGAGGGCGAGAGAGGACGCCUUGGAGGAGUGGGGAGCUCGCCAUCCACUCUGGAGGAGGUAGGGGCACCUGGACGAGCAGCACAGGAGGUGGGGGCUUCAACUCGCGCAUGGAUGCCACGCACCAGCGACGUGUCCGCCAUUGAGGCAUUCCACCGAACACGUGUCGGGCAACGAUGUGGUCAGCGUGGGAAGCAAUUUAGGCCAGAUCUGGACUGAAUUUGGACAUGGACCAAAAAUAAAGUUUGCUCUACUCUUGACACUCUCCAACUUUGAUUAAGGUGCCAUGGUCAUUAGAGUUGCAGAUUAGUAGAUAAUUUGAUGCCCACCUUGGAGUGUCAAUGAAUUGAUAAUGAUUAACAAAACUCAACAUUGAUGACCAAAACAAAGUCAAACUGGUGUCAUCUUUUGGCAUGCUCUUGUCCACAAUAUGUACUCCAACUUCUAUUUUGGGACCCAAACAAGUUCUUUAGUAAAAUUUGUAGAACGCGGAAUGCCAACGUGAUGAACUGCAAACCUAGUCUUAGAAACUCUAAGUGCUGGAAAUUACAGCAGAUUCAAUCUUGGGACUAUUAUUUGACAUGCUUCGAAGACGAUUCAGACUUAGUAACUUUAACAAAGAUUGUAGUAUGCAAACUAUACUACAACAUUUACAAAAGUACAUUGUACUAGUUCAGUUUUAUUUGGAAGAUACAAGGCUCCAAACUAGGGUACCCGAAACUGAGCACCUUGAGGACUUGGCCAAAAUUCUGGAGUUCCAAAACAGCACUGCAUUGAAUCUUGUAAGCUUAGUUUGACUAGGUUAGGUACCAAACUAGCUCUUGACCAUAAAACAAAGUUAGUUCUACAGAAGUUAAGCUAGAACUUUUAUUUAAGGUCAAAUCUCAGAACUAGUACAGAAGUCAAACUUUGACUUUGGUCAAAGUAGCAACUUGAUAAAGCUUGAAUUGAGGUUUUAGGCCAAUUGAAGCAUUGUCUAGGCACAAGCUCAACAUGAACCCUUCAUAGCUUUUGUUGUAUAAUUCACCUAGAGUCAUAUGAGCAAGUUUGCAAGGUUUGGUUGGUGACCCAUUAUUCUAUUUCGUUAAUAGAGUCAUUCCAACAAGGAUAUAACUUAUCAUUUCAUGUGACUUCUUGAUUCCAAACUUCACCAAACUUUCCAGAGACCAACAUAGAUUGGGAUGGAUAUAAGACAUAUGAAAAAGGUCCCAUUAGCAUCAUCAAAGCAUACCUUUUAAAACGAGCAUAUAUGCAAGCAAGGUUGCAUCCACCAAGUCCAAGUUGUGGUUUACUUUCAUAGAUUGACUUUGACCUCUUUAUUACCAUUGAACUUGUCAUGUUUGUGCUCAAACCUAGUACUUAGCAAGUGACAAACUCCUUGUAACAUCGCAAAAAAUCACAUUCAAAAAUCACUCACAUUAAAAAUUAUUUUCAAAAUAUAUUUCAAAAACUAUAAAAUAAUUUGAGCUCUAUUGUAUCUCCAUCUAAUCCAUCCAUAUUUUUUUCGCGCACAAAUAACAACGAGUACCAGCAAGCUUACAUGCAAGAAAACAUAGCAGUACACCUACACGAAUAUAUAUCUCAUGCAUGCAUGCAGGACGAGCAUGCACCGUCCAUUUCAUGCACCUGCAUGCAAGGACACGGUGAUUAGGCACCGUCCAUUUGCAUGCAUCGUGCAUGCAAAUUAGGCACCGACGAUGCGCUACAGUAGCAUUUUUAAUGGCACGCAGCUGAGCGCUUUGGCCUAUAAAAAGCCAGCCUCGGGUGCUCACUCUGUUGACACCGUUUUUGGGCACGUAUCUAGGAUGGCAGGAUAAGGUGACAGUACGAUGUUUACAAAGCGGGUUGCCGAUGAGGAUGGUUGCCGAUGAGGGGGAAGUUGAAUGUGACUAAGUCCACAGGCAGUAAUAUGGUGCCGAUGGCUAGAUAAGAAAGUCUGCCGAUGACUAUGGCAAAGGAUCUGCCGAUGAUGCAAAGGAGGAGUCUGGAAGCUGCCGGUCGUUAUGUGGAGGAGUUUCGGUUUGUCACGAGGGAUAGUUUUGUUAUUUCCUUAAUUAUUUGCAUCAUUUUGUAUACGGAUUCCGUGUAAUUUGGAAUUCGAAUUCUAAUCGUGUCUAGUUGUAGCUCUUUGAGCAGGGUAUAAAUAUAGACCCUAGGGCCUUGUAAUAAUCAAUCAAGAAAUCAAACACACGUUUUUACUCAUAUUCCAGCAUUUACUUUUCGACGACUUCGUCAUACUUUUUUCUUUUUGUUACGAGUUCUUAGGAAUUCGUCGACUUAAGUUCGGCGUGUUCUCAAGUUCCGCGCGAGUACCUCUUAGCCGUGACAUCCGGGCGCAUCGCUGUUGUCAGGACUAAAGUAUUCAAGUUAUCACCUUUGCCGAUAGCAAGGUCAAAUCGGCUGGCACGCCUUAACGUUUGAAUCGGGUAUUAGCCCUUUGUGUUUGCAGACCAGUUUUGCAUCAACACAUCUUUUGGCACGCCCAGUGGGACUAGAUUCAAGAUCAAGAUCAACAUGUCGAUCUCUGACCUCGAUCAAGAGAACGUCAUCCCCGUGACGGAGGCCAACCUCAAGGAUGAGCAGAAGCAAGCUAUUGCCCAAGCCAUGGAAGAGUUCAAGCAGCAAUGCCUGAGGUCUUUCAGCAUAAACAGGAGCGGCGAAGUGGUCCAGAAAGAUGCACUGCCGGCACCACGGCAGGUUACCUUUGACGCAAAUCCUGGCAAGCUUCAAGAUAUGGUUGACAAUGCCAUCAAUCGAGCGUUGAUUAACCAAGCUGGUGUACUGUCUAAUACGGUUUUCAAUGCCGUGGCAAGAACUUUCAAGGAAGGACAAAUCCCACCAGAUUAUGUGGGCCCCUCCCAUCAUCAGCCAACGGCGCCAGAGGUCACGGCUCCAUCGGCUGCCUUGACGAAUGCAAGUGCACAAUCUGCCGUCCCUCCAAGUACAUCGGGGACUACUGGUGCACUAUCUAUGCCGAUGGCAACCAACCCACAAAUUUCAGUUGGGCAGCAUAAACUGACAACAGAUAUGUUGGCACCGGCAAUGUCAGGGUUGACUCUUCCUCCUAACUGGUGGGGUUACGGUAUGCCUCCAGAGUUGACGCCGGGAACAUCACAAAUAACUGACAUGAGGGGCAAAACUCCUAUGACAUCGGCACCUCCCAAUGCGCCGGUGAACCAGAGUCCUCGGUAUACCACAACUACUACUGCAAGGCCUCACACUGGAAAUCCUCAAGAUUCAAUGUUCCAGAUGCCCAACGCAUCGGCAGUCAAUGCUGAUGCAACAGAGGCCUAUGGCCCAGUCGGGGUAUGUCAAUUCAACGACGGUACCCAAUUACCAAUCAUCGGCAGCACCUAUGCCAAUGAACGCUAAUAAUGGAUGGUUUGGACAGCAAGCCUUUCCACAAUCACCCCAGCAGAGUUACCAGACUACAGGGUUCCAGCAAGGGCAGGUCUAUCCCGGGUUCCAAGGUCAGGGGAUUCCCAACCAGCCAAUGAAUUUUGGACAGCAACUCGGAGGACAGCCAAUCGGUGGACAGCAGUUUGGUGGUCCGCAGAUUGGAGGACAGGUGAUCAAUACAAUGUUCCGUGCAGAUCACGUCCCGAACAGACACGUGGAGGUUCGCCACCAAGUGCCAGAUCCGCAGCCGCCUCAUCGGCAAGAUGCCGAUGCAUAUUGGGCCGAUAAGAUUGCUGAAGUAAUGAGGGAACAAUUUGGGAUAAAACCCAAAGUCAACACUUAUUCUUAUCGGACACCGUAUCCUCCCGCGUAUGAUUUGAUUCCGCUUCCACAUCGGUACAAGGUACCGGAUUUUACAAAGUUUUCCGGACAGGACGACACGUCAACCAUGGAGCAUGUCAACAGGUUCAUUAUUCAAUGUGGAGAGGCUGGUAACAGGGACGAAUUGAGGGUUCGUCUAUUUUCAUCAUCAUUGUCUGGAUCGGCCUUUACUUGGUUCAUAUCAUUACCUCCCAACUCAGUAAUUACUUGGGCCGAUCUAGAGAAGCAAUUCCACAAAUACUUCUUCUCGGGGGUUCAUGAGAAGAAGAUCACCGACUUGGUCAAGUUGAGGCAACGUAAUGAUGAGUCGGUUGAGGGAUUUGUGCAGAGGAUACGAGAGGUCAAGAAUAAAUGCUAUAGCCUGGUUCUGGAUGAUCGGCAGCUAGCCGAUUUGGCUUUCCAGGGUUUGUUGCCACAUAUCAGUGAUAAGUAUGCCUCUCAGGAGUUCGAAAGUUUAAGUCAUUUGGUGCAGAGGAUUUCUGAUCAAGACAUCAAGCCUUUCGAGCCCAAGAGAGCAUGGAAUAAGAAAGUGUCAUUUGUUGAUGAAGCAAUAAGCUCAGAUUCUGAUGAAGAACCAGUAAUCGGUUUGGCAGAGUGGGUAAAAAACAAGAAGCCGAUGUCUUGUCCUUUUGGGCAGAAGGAACCAGAGAAGUUUGCUUUUGACACCGCUAAGGCCGAUAGGAUAUUUGACUUUCUACUUCAGGAAGGUCAGAUCAAACUGUCACCUAACCAUGUGAUUCCAUCGGCAGAAGAGUUGAAGAGGAUGAGAUAUUGCAAGUGGCAUAAUGCAACUUCCCAUGACACCAACGAGUGCAAAGUAUUCAGACAGCAGCUGCAAUCGGCUAUACAGUCAGGGAGAAUCAAGUUUGACAGUUCCAAAGCCCAGAAGCCGAUGAAGAUAGACCAACAUCCUUUCCCGACAAACAUGUUGGAUGCUAAGGGGAAGGCUAAGGCCUUAACAUCGGAGACAGCUGAGAAGAGUGCAUCGGUAGAUCCCCAGCAUCAAGUUACUACUGCCGAUGCAAGAAGUAAGGGCUUGGUCCAGGAAGGAACUAGCUCAGGAAGGCUUCCACGAUCCGGUAUCGUCAUAACUCAUAGAAGGCCUCGAGAAAAAUGGCAACAACGGGAAGAUCGGUAUCGGCGCCAGCAGGAAGAUUAUCUACGGGAAGAAGAAAGACGCCGACAGGAGUGGAAUCGGCACAGGGAUCAUUGGAAUUGUCCAUUCUUCAUCCAUUGUUGGGAGGAAAAUAUCAAGCUUCCUACUGUCAGAGACUGCCCUGAGUGCAACGGUUAUGAUUGGUACGAUAGGAUCGAUCGGCAUUAUCAUAAUGAUGAACGGCGAUUUAAUGGGCCGAUCAGAGGAAGGGUGUCAGUUCAUGACCGGCUGGGGGGCAGAUGUAGUGGGCACGACAGACUUAGUGACCGUGUCCAGUAUUUUCCCAGGAACCAAGAAGAGCUCGAGGGAAUGGCUGAUGCGCGGGUUCCCGAUGAAUUCAUAUUUUGCAGGGAUGCUAACACGCAUCGUAUGGAGUCAAGGGAGAACCGACGCCCGACAGCAAGGCAAAGGCCACUUCCUCCAUGGUGCCCUGGAGGAUUAACCAAGACACAGAAAAGGAGAUUGCAACGUGAAAGGCAAGAAGAGCUAAACAAGGGAGAGAACUCUGGAAGUCAGCAGCCGUCAGACACUAAGAGGGAAGGUCCAUCGGCAGGCGUCAACAUGGUCUUCAUGUUGCCGAUGGAGUUUCUUGCACCAGCCAGUGAUGAUGAGUUGGAAUUUUCUGAUCAGAUAGCUCAGUUGGCUCUGGAUCCGAUGACGGCUAUCUUUGAGAAACCUGCCGAUGACGAGAGGCAGCAUCUUAAAGCUCUGUUCCUCAAAGGGUUGAUGGGCAGCCAAUGACCAAGAUCCUAGUGGAUGGUGGAGCUGCUAUUAAUAUUAUGCCGUAUGCAGUAUAUCGGAAGCUUGGAAAAGGGGAUCAAGAUUUGACCAAGACCGAUAUGAUGCUCAAAGACUUUGAAGGAAACGUGUCUCCAGUCAAGGUGGCGAUAUGUGCAGAGUUGACCAUCGGCAGCAAAACCUUGCCGACAACUUUCUUCGUGAUCAGCGGAAAAGGUGCUUACAACUUAUUAUUGGGAAGAGAUUGGAUUCAUGCCAAUUGUUGUAUCCCAUCUACAAUGCAUCAGUGCUUGGUUCAGUGGGUAGGUGACAAGAUUGAGAUUGUCCCAGGAGAUUCUUCUUAUGUUAUCGCAUCGGCAGAAGCGGAUACUUACGAAAGGACCAGGUGCAUUUCAGGAGAAGUUUGGGAGAAAGAUUUUCUCAAAGUUGCCGAUUAUGAGAUUCCACCGAUCCAAGCAGUCGGUUCUGACGACGGUUUUUAAUGGAUAGAUUCGCCGAUGAUGGAAAAUUAGGCCAGGGAUUCACAUCGGCCGAUGAUUUGGUAGAAGUAGAUAUAGGUAGUGGUGAUAAGCCUAGGCCUACUUUUAUUAGUGCUAAAUUAGAUCCUGAGAGUAAGCGACAAUUGACUAGUUUGUUAAAGGAAUAUAAAGAUUGCUUUGCUUGGGAUUAUACAGAGAUGCCUGGUUUAGACCGAUCAAUUGUUGAACAUCGGUUACCCAUCAAGUCUGGAUUUCGGCCACAUCAGCAACCAGCCCGCCGAUGUAAUCCUAACAUUCUACCUGAUAUUAAGGCCGAAAUCACUAAACUUAUUGAAGCUAAGUUUAUUCGGCAGUGUCGGUAUGCCGAAUGGAUUUCCAAUGUUGUUCCGGUUUACAAGAAGAACGGGAAGCUUCGGGUGUGCAUUGAUUUCAGGAAUCUCAAUAAAGCUACGCCGAUGGAUGGAUACCCAAUGCCUGUCGCCGAUCUACUGGUUGAUGCUGCGGCUGGUCAUCGGGUCAUCAGCUUCAUGGAUGGUAAUGCAGGUUACAAUCAAAUAUUCAUGGCAGAGGAGGAUAUUCCAAAAACCGCAUUCAGGUGUCCUAGUCAUGUUGGGCUAUUUGAAUGGAUAGUCAUGACUUUUGGGUUGAAGAAUGCUGGUGCUACUUAUCAAAGGGCUAUGAAUUUUAUAUUUCAUGAGUUCAUCGGCAAGCUCGUGGAGAUUUAUAUUGAUGAUGUGGUGGUUAAGUCUGGAGAUUUCUCAAAGCAUCUUGCCGAUUUACAAAAAGUGUUAGAGUGCACAAGGAAGCAUGGAUUGAAGAUGAAUCCCAACAAGUGUGCAUUUGGUGUAUCGGCAGGACAGUUUCUUGGUUUCAUGGUACAUCAGAGGGGUAUUGAAAUUAGUCGAAGAUCUAUUGAUGCCAUCAAUAAAAUAGUGGCCCCUACCAACAAAACCGAGCUCCAAUCCUUGAUCGGCAAGUUAAAUUUUAUCAGGAGAUUUAUAUCGAAUUUGUCUGGUAGGAUUCGUACUUUCAGUCCUCUUCUUAAAUUGAAAGCCGAUCAAGAGUUUAUUUGGGGAGAAGAACAGCAGUUGGCUCUGGAUGAAAUCAAGAAGUAUCUAGUAAAUCCUCCAGUUCCAGUUCCACCUCAACAAGGGAAGCCCUUCAGAUUGUAUUUAUCUACCGAUGGAUCGGUUAUCGGUUCAGCUUUAGUUCAAGAAUUUGAAGGGAAAGAAAGAGUAAUUUAUUAUUUGAGUAGGAGGUUGAUUGAUGCUGAAACCAGGUAUUCGGCCAUUGAGAAAUUAUGCUUAUGCUUAUAUUUUUCAUGUAUCAAGCUGAGACAUUACCUGUUAUCGGCCGAAUGCACUGUUGCUUGCAAAGAUGACGUGGUCCGAUACAUGCUAUCUAUGCCGAUUAUGAGUGGUAGGAUCGGUAAGUGGAUUUUAGCGCUGUCGGAGUUCGAUUUGUGUUAUGAAUCGGCUAAGGCAGUCAAAGGGCAGAUUAUGGCCGAUUUUGUGACUCAGCAUUGCGGUCUAGUGGAAACCUUGGAAAUUGUACCCUGGACGCUCUUCUUUGAUGGAUCUACCUGUGACCGGGGGGCAGGAAUCGGCAUUGUAUUAGUUUCCCCUAAGGGGAGGAAGUAUGAGUUUUCCUUGCCGAUUGUUGCCACAUCAACAAAUAAUCAGGCUGAGUAUCAAGCUCUGAUCAAGGGAUUGGAGUUGUUAAGAGAAGUUCGUGCUGAUGCUGUUGAAAUAUUCGGGGAUUCUAUGUUGGUUAUAAAUCAAUUGGCCGGAAGCUAUGAAUGCCGAAGUGAAGUCCUCAUAACUUAUUUUGAGAGAAGUAUGCAACUGUUAAAGGAAUUCAAGGAUUUCCGAUUGGAGCAUGUUCCCCGAUUGCAUAAUGAAGACGCUAAUCGGUUAGCUCAGCAUGCCUCGGGAUAUCAGCCAAUGAUUAAUGCGACAUCGGCAGUCGGUGCCGGUGAUUGGAGGAAAGAAAUUAUUGAUUAUCUAAAAGAUCCAUCUAAAAAAGUUGAAAGACGGGUUCGAUCUCAAGCAACCAAGUAUGUGCUCCUUGAAAAUGAAUUGUAUUAUCGAACUAUCGACGGAAUUCUUCUCCGAUGCUUGGGUGAUGAUGAAGCUAGAAGUUUGAUGGGGGAAAUCCAUGAAGGAGUGUGUGGAGCGCAUCAGUCAGCUUUUAAGAUGAAGUGGAUGAUUCGAAGGAAUGGAUAUUUUUGGCCGACCAUACUUGAAGAUUGUUUUAAAUAUUUCAAGGGAUGUUAAGGUUGUCAAAAGUUUGGUAAUAUCCAGAGAGCACCCGCAUCGGCUAUGAAUCCUAUAAUAAAGCCUUGGCCGUUCCGGGGAUGGGCCAUCGAUCUGAUCGGCCAGAUUUAUCCACCAUCUAGCAAAGGGCAUAAGUUCAUUCUAGUUGCCACUGACUAUUUCACUAAGUGGGUUGAAGCUAUUCCUUUGAAGAAAGUCACAUCGGCCAAUAUGAUUGAUUUUGUGAAGGAGCAUAUUAUUUACCGAUUUGGGAUUCCCCAAACGAUUACUACCGAUCAGGGCACCAUGUUCACAUCGGGGGAGUUCGAUGAAUUCGCAAUCGGUAUGGGAAUUAAAGUGUUGAAUUCUUCUCCUUAUUAUGCUCAAGCCAAUGGGCAGGCCGAAGCGUCUAACAAAGGAAUUAUCAAGCUUAUUAAACGAAAGAUUGAAGAAAAUCCUAAGCGGUGGCAUACAUUAUUAAAUGAAGCAUUGUGGUCUUAUCGGAUGGCUUGUCACGGAUCGACCAAAGUAUCACCCUAUCAAUUGGUGUAUGGACAUGAUGCAGUGUUGCCUUGGGAAAUUAAGGCUAGAUCUAGGCGAUUAUCUUUUCAAGAUCAAUUAACUUCCGAUGGUUAUGCCACUUUGAUGACCGAUGAAUUGGAUGAUCUAGCAGGGCAUCGGUUAAAAGCUUUAAUGAGUAUAGAAGAAAAUAAGAAGAGAGUUGCUAGAUGGUAUGAUAAGAAAGUGAAGGCUAAAGAGUUUGCCGAUGGGGAUUUGGUAUGGAAAUUAAUUUUACCAAUUGGGACCAAAAGUUCGAAGUUUGGAAAGUGGUCUCCUAAUUGGGAGGGUCCUUAUCGGAUAAGUCGAUCGGCUCCUGGUAAUGCCUACAUUCUAGAAACCCUCGAAGGAAUUGAAUUUCCCAGAGCAUUAAACGGCAAAUAUUUAAAGAAGUACUACCCCAGUAUAUGGGUCGAUGCAUAGAAGUUUAGGUGCCGAUAACACUCCUAUCGGCUGGAUCCAAAUGCUUGGGGACAAGACUUGGUGUUUCAAAAGUUUAGGCGCCGAUAACAGUCCUAUCGGCUAGACUAAAAGCUAAGGAUACAAUGCCGAUGGAAACUCUAUGUGUUAAGCAGCGUCUGGAUUGCCGGUAUAGCGCAUAGCCGAAUUUGGUUGGCUGCUUCUAUCUCCUUGAUGUCAUCAUCGGCAGAACCUUCUAUCGGCUUCAGCUUCUUCUUCAGUUGGAGUGCUUUGCGACCAUGAGCAUUUCGCUCGCGCUCAAGAAGCCUGAUGGUCUCUGGCAAUUGGCUCUCUUCCUGUUGGGCUUGGGACAGAGCGUUCUCCACUUCCUUGAGCUCCGCCAACAGGGACUCUUUUCUUGCCGAUAGAUCGGAUAUCUUCUGCUUCAGCGCGUCUCCAUAAGAUCUCAGGAUACCGAUGUUCUUGUGCUUCUCAUCGGUCAAAAGCUUCUCUUUCCUCAUUUCAUCGGAGAGUUGAGUCUGAGCGGCUCUAUCGGCAAGCCGCCGAGAAGCUCUUUGGUACUGCAGCUGGCGACUCUCCAGAUGAGCGGCUUGGAACAGGAUUUCUUCAACAUCGGCUGGGAUUUGGCCUCUGAGAGUUCUGAAUAGGGUCUUGGUAGGGUCGGAAUCAUCAACCAAUUGCGCUGUGUCCUGGUGAAGGAGAGCUGACAAUUCUUCCAGCCUGACCCUGACCUCUGCCGAUGUGAUGCCGACCGUCUGAGAAGUGCUUGCUUCUUCACCUUCUUCUUCAGAGAAAUCGAUGGCGAAGGAGAACAGGCUAUCGGGAGAAUCUUGUUCCUGGGAGGGAAAGCAAAAUUAGCUCAUACUUAGAGAAUCGGCAAAUAGUGCUAACGGUAAACGGUGACUUACUUGCUUCAAGGCGAUCUCUUGUCUUUGACUGAGAAGUGCUGACGGAGCUGCAGGCUGAUCGGCCAAAGAUGCCGAUGGAGCUACAGGUUGAUCGGCUGAGAUUGCCGAUGGAACGAUAUCAACUGAAAGAAGACAAAAGGAGUUAUGAGACUAAAUAAGAAUAAGUUCAUCGGUAGCGAUAUUGUUAAAGUAUGUUACCUGGAGGAGGGACAACGGUUGUCUGAAUCGGGAAAACUGCCGAUGGUAUAACUGGACCCACCGGGCCAGUUGUUUGUUCACCCAUGUCAGCUGAUGUAUCUUCUGUUUGAGAUCCUUCCUGUUGGGGUUCUUCUAUCUGUGGUGCUUCCUGCAUAGGUGGGGGAGAUGGUGCUUGCUGUGGCUGGGCUUCUGGAGAAGAAGGAGAAGACUCCACCGGAAUUGGAGAUACCGGAGGAGGAGGGGGAGUUGCUACCUUCUGGCGCUUUGUUCCAGUCUUAGCACCCGUGGUGCCCAUUCUCUUGGGUUGGCUAGACUGGGGGGCAUCGGUACUCUCACACCUGGCUUUCGCCGAUGCGCCGGUUUGCUGCAAUAAUGAACAAGAGUUUAUAAGCAUAAAUAUAGCCGAUAUAAAGAUAGUCAGCAUAAAGGAAAAGAUUUGACAAAUUGCCUUGAAAGCCCGCGCAAGAGUGGGAGCAGCAACCAUUGGUGAUGUCUGGGUUCUUCUGGUGGUGACUUUCCUGAGGCGUACACCCCGAUGCACGAUGGAAGCUAGAGUGGGAGCAUUGUGGCCGAUUGAGGAAAUCGGGCCUGAUGGAAACAAGUCGAUCGGCUUGCCACUCCUGCUAACCAAUGGAGGAAUAUUGUCAACCUGCAAAAGGAAUACAAGGGUAAGCUGCCGAUGGGGGUAAUAUUUAGAAAAUGAAACAUUGGUUUGAGUUACUUACAGUGUCAUCGGGAACUUCGUAUUCGGAGUCAAUCAUGCCGCGGUAUGAAAGUGCCGAUCUGCAGAAUAGAUGCUCUUUCCAUUCUGCCCACCAUAACUUGUAUGCCUGAGUGAUAAAAGCAGCCGGAACCCAUUCUGACAGAUUUACAUCUAUAUCGGCGUUUGGUGGUAGUUGGGCUGCUCGAGUCCACUCAAGAAGGUUGUUGAUAGUUUCUCUGGGUUUUAUCACAUCGGCAUAAGGAAGUGCAAUCGGCAACUGGCCGAAAGCUAACUGGCGAGCUAAUGCCGAUGGAUUGUAAAAUUCGUAAGUUUGAGGGGAGGUUUUUGUGCUACCAAAGAAAUUCACUGGAAUGAUUCUAGGAGUCACAAUUGCCAUCAUCACCUCAUUGUCCCUGUCGAGAGCUUCAUCAAAUGGAUUGAAGGUCAGAGGGAGCAUGUUAUCUGGGUCAUCAUAAGCCAACCAUGGUCGUUCGUCUCUGGUCAAACCCUCAUACAGAGUCUGGAAGAAUCGGCCGAUCUGAUCUGGAUUACCCCCUGAACCAAGUAGAACUAUGACAGCUUCACCAAAGUUCAAGGGGGCGCGUGUUGCCGAUUCCUCUUCACCCAAUACAUGGUUUUCAGCUAUAUCUCUUGGGAAACGCUGUGUGAACAGGUUGAAGUUGAGACGCUUGUGCAGAUGCAGAUUGAGCCACAUGUUGACAAACCACCAGGGGCCUCCCAAGUUGCCAAUGGAUUGGCCGAGCAGAAGUUUCUGGGCUACUUGGUGGAGAAGGUGGUAAGCAGCGCCAAGCAAGUAUCGGCCGAGAGGGAAUCGGCCACCGUUAGCCAAUCUUUCUGCUGCCGAUAGGUAGACAGAAGUCGGUCCUGCCGAUCGACCACAUAAUACAAACUUGUCCAGCCACAUGUUCAGAAAGGUGGUUUGUUCCUUUAUGGUGACAGAUCCUUUCCCACGGUACUUCUGAAUGUACCCCGACCAACCGCCGAUAGCGCGAGUCUCCACUUUGGCACUAGGGGCAGUAUCAAAAAAGUGGGUGCUAUCGGCAGAAGAUAUAUCUAGACCAGUAAGCAUGGCUACAUCGGCAAGAGUAGGAGAAGCAGGGCCGUGGCCAAAGGCAAAAGCAUUGAGAGUGUCUGACCAAAAGUAGGAUGCAGCUAUCAGCAGUGACUCGUUCCUAUGCAUAUCGGUAAUGGACAAUCUAAUGCAUUGGGCUAGAUUCCAUUCACCCCACUGAACUUCAUUAGAGUUGCUGACCCUCAAGAACCAGUCUUUCCACCCUACAGUUAGGCUGGGCCAAGAGCGGAAGGUGUCCUUCCACAGAUCUAAGGAAAAAUUUUCGGCUCUGAAGGGGAUCCUGUUGGUUUCUGCGUUGAUAAGGUCAGUUGGAUCUGGGUCCCCUAGAGGGCCGAGGCAUUGAAGGUGUGGUUGAUCGGUGGGGAUGACAAUUUUGUUGGACAAUUCCUAGUGAUUUUGGGCAUAAAAAGAAAUACAAAGAGGAAAGAAAAGGAAGAUGUUCAGUAAAAUGAAUUGCGAGUGAACAGGGAUAUGAAGAAAAAUACAGAAGACGGGGUGGAGAUUUGACCUCAGGGACGACGAACCCGACGGCCAUCUUGCUGCGAAGGAAGCGUGUGAAGGCGCCGGAGUUGAUGAAGAGGGGCACUUGUCGGAGACCUUAGGAGUUUUUGGUGGCGCCGCCGCUGGAGAAGUAAAGUUGUGUAGUAGAAUGGUGUGAUGGGGAAGGAGUACCCAAGAAGGAACUAUUUAUAGGACAAGAUGGGCAAGGGCAAAUCCGACUUAUCUCUUUGCCGCAUCCGAGAAAUCCGAGGGUACUCAGGUGGAUAUGGUAACUGUUCGCACGGUAAUCCAGAGAUUGUGCAGGUGAUUUGACGGGAAGCGGUCAUUAUCUGAAGAUAUUUUACUGUGCGAUAUCUCCUGGUCGGUCCAUCGGCGAUAUUCUAUAACGGUCAUAUUGCCGAUGGGCGGAUAGAGGGGAAGUAACCGUUUUUGCGAAUAUCCUGGUCAGAACAUCGGCAGAUCUUUGUAACGGUAUUGUUGCCGAUGUACGACUGAGAAAAAAUGCCCGUUUAGGAAGUUGGGGAUUUCGAGGAAUCUGCGGAGGAUUAGGAUCAGAGUUGUCCAGAUUGAGGUUGUCGGUUACCAGAUUAGGAGCAUUAAUUGCGGGAGAAGGCAUCAUUACUGCAGAGAAUUUCGGAGCAUUAAUAGUUUUAUACUCCGAAACUGGGGGGCAUGUGUUGACACCGCUUUUGGGCACGUGUCUAGGAUGGCAGGAUAAGGUGACAGUACGAUGUUUACAAAGCGGGUUGCCGAUGAGGAUGGUUGCCGAUGAGGGGGAAGUUGAAUGUGACUAAGUCCACAGGCAGUAAUAUGGUGCCGAUGGCUAGAUAAGAAAGUCUGCCGAUGACUAUGGCAAAGGAUCUGCCGAUGAUGCAAAGGAGGAGUCUGGAAGCUGCCGGUCGUUAUGUGUAGGAGUUUCGGUUUGUCACGAGGGAUAGUUUUGUUAUUUCCUUAAUUAUUUGCAUCGUUUUGUAUACGGAUUCCGUGUAAUUUGGAAUUCGAAUUCUAAUCGUGUCUAGUUGUAGCUCUUUGAGCAGGGUAUAAAUAUAGACCCUAGGUUCUUGUAAUAAUCAAUCAAGAAAUCAAACACACGUUUUUACUCAUAUUCCAGCAUUUACUUUUCGACGACUUCGUCAUACUUUUUUCUUUUUGUUACGAGUUCUUAGGAAUUCGUCGACUUAAGUUCGGCGUGUUCUCAAGUUCCGCGUGAGUACCUCUUAGCCGUGACAUCCGGGCGCAUCGCUGUUGUCAGGACUAAAGUAUUCGAGUUAUCACCUUUGCCGAUAGCAAGGUCAAAUCGGCUGGCACGCCUUAACGUUUGAAUCGGGUAUUAGCCCUUUGUGUUUGCAGACCAGUUUUGCAUCAACACACUCUCACCACCGAGAAGCACGUUCACUCACUCGCUCACUCACUCUCACUUCGCGUAUACCGUAUACGGCCAUACGCACAAGCCGAGCUCGACUGUCGUCGCAAGACGAGGUGAGCAGCUCAAGAGCAUCUCCUUGCUCUUCUCUGUCUUUCUGUAGUAUUUUCCUGUAUUUUUCCUUGUAUUUGUCUGUACCGAUUCACUGCCAAGAACUCCACGAACUAAACCAUGAUAUACAGAAGAACUCGAAUGAUCCCUGCUAAUUUAUCACUUCACAUGCAUGCGUGGGCCAUAAGCAUUAACUCCAAAUAGUACAUGCAUGCAACAUGCACUACCAGCCAAGCAAAUGCCCACGUGAAGCAUCCAUUCCUUAAUCACCGUUAGCCUUUUUCGCAUGAUUAAAUUUCGGCCAUUUUACAAAUACCACAUGCUAACUCUGAUUUUAAUAAUUCUUUGUCCUAAAUUCAUCUAAAAUCAUGAUCUACCUCCUAUAUUAAUUUCAUGAUUUUUAGAGCUUAUUUGAAUUUAUGUGAUUAUUUAUCUGUGCUUGUUGUCUGUGUCGGUCUUCGCGUAUUUUAGCUGACGGAGUGAACGAGCCGGAAAACGAGAACGUUGGAGACGAGUACCGCGAGUUUGACGCCGAGGAUCCGGACUGUCAGUAGGAGUUUGCCGAGGACGCCGACGGAGGCAAGUCCAACCGAUUCUCUUUGAUGCAUAUUGAUCCUAUUUUUAAACACAACCUGUAGAAGUCGUUUUAAAUAUUGCAUGUACGAUAUAUGUACGAAGUAUUUUCGCUGCUUAUUUAAAACCUGUUGAAUAGCCAUGCUUGAAUUGAUAUUACCCGGUAAUUGUCUUGUUCGAACCUAGGAAUAAAUAAUAUGCUAUGACAGAAAUAUUAUUAUUUAGUAUGCUUAGGACUUGUUACUCAUCCUAGAUACUCGCUAUGUUUUAUCAAAUAUAAUGAUUUUAAAAGUAAAAGGUGUGAGUGGUGAAAAUAAAUUGUGGGUAUUGUGAAAGGGUUAAUGAACAAGUUAUAGAUGUGAUUACUAUAGAGAUGGGGCGGAUGGGAUCUGUUUUGGGAAUGCCCUGGUGUUGUGGCUUAUACCUUGCGGGGUUAAGCGUGAAGAUAUCCGUCUUGUCUCGAUUAAGGACUGAGUUUAUGAUUCAUCUUGCCUAACUCAUUUAUCGUACAACCACUCGCCUUGCAUGGGAAAGGCUUAGUCUAAAUCCCUCUAGUUAGUAUGGCAAUCACCUGGAGGCAGGUGUGCAACGGGACACUAAGUGAUGUAUGUGAAAUAGUAGAAAUAUAUGAAAAGAGCUUUGUGAAUUAUUGUGGUAUCAUGAGAUGUGGCCAUAGUGUUCCCGUGGUGAGCGCCAUUACUUAGCUACGGAGGGUAAUGACUUUGAUGGAUCUAUGCUUGUACGACGGUGUAAGUUAUGGUAUCCUACUUGUGGGAAAAGUGUACAACCUCUGCAGAGUGUAAAUCUAUUUGGAUAGCCGUGUCCGCGGUCUCGGACAGGUUAUGGUUUGGUUUCAACAACUAGAUGGGUUGGGAUGAGUGAAAACAUGUGAGAGAGUGUGAUUUUGGAAAUAAAUGGUUGACUGCCAUUGUGUUGUGGGAACAAGGGUUCAACAACUAUUAAAAUUGUGAUCAAACCCCCAUUUUCAGAAAUACUAUCAUAUGUGGAAAAAGAGUUCUUUUACAACAGUACUUGUGAAAUGAAACCUUGCAUGUGUAAAAAGAUAGCUUUAUGCAAAUAAAACUAAGCCUCAUCCUUGAUUUAUCCAUAUGCAUAUAUAUUGUUAUCCCCUUCCGUAGGGUAAGGUUGGAUUUGCUGAGUACUUUGUACUCACCCUUGCUUUAUUAAACAGAGGAAGAUCCGGACUUCGAUCUCGAAGUGGCGUUCGAGUAAGGUCGUGUCUGCACCCAACUAAGCCUGUGGCAUUGGGACUCGUCAGAUGUUCGGUUGUGAUAUCGUUUGUUUCUGGGUCCUUUGGACCUAUGUUGUAUUUUGGUGUCUUAUUAUUAUAGCGUGCCUUCUUUGUCCACGCUUACCGAGACUACUGCGCUGAAACUUAUCUGAUGUAAUAAAUAUGUUACUAGCCUCCUGGGACUAGUAUUGUAUCACAUUUGAGUUCCUGGUUUACUAGGGGCGCUUCAGGUGGUAUCAGAGCCGUAGUUGGCUGUAGGACGUGACCUUAGGCUUUUCUGGACCAGUGUUUUACUAAAUAAACGUAUUUUACAAAAGUUCUUACCCUAUUCCCUCUAUUUGAAAAAAAAUAUUUACUCUCAUCUAUAUCUCUCAGAUGACAGAAGGAGUUUGGACCAGCAGUUACUAUCUAAGUGUAGAAGGCUUUCCCAAGCUCUUGUAUGCUACCAUGCAGAAACUUGGAAUCAAGGAUCGCCCAGAAUAUGAAGGCAGAGAAUAUGAAGAGCAUGAGACCGAGCGGUGUGAAGUUACCGUCUAUAUUGGGAAAAGUGAGGACUUCCCUAACAUAGCUGAAGCUUGGAGUAUGACUGCGACCAGAUUUCGGUUUGCAGAUACAUAUCAAGCCGUCGCCCGCAAAGCCUUGAGGUACCUAUGCCAGAUCUACGAGAAGCCCAUCACCCGUACACCUAUGAGGUUCUUUCCACCCGACGAAAAAGACCGACCAGUUUGGAGGACCCGCAUGGAGCUCUUGCAAGGACGUUACUCACUUGAAGAUGACCCAACUGUGGUAUUCAUGACCACAUACCUACUUGCUCUAGAUAAGCAAUAUGAUGAGCAGGCCUCAGAGUUAAGGAAGUGCAUCCAUCGUGCGGAGGAAGCCGAGAUCAUAGUUAGAAAAAUCCAUGUGCAGCUUGCGGAAGCUCAGGCCCAAGCAGCUGCAGCUGAGAGUCGUGAAACAGCCAAUGCUGAAGUCUUGAAGGCAGCUGAAGACCGCCAUGCUCAGGAGUUGAAGGAUGCCUACCUUAUCACCAGGAUCAAAAGAAGGAUGUUAGCAGUGGAAGACCAAGAGCCCAUAAUCCUAAAAGAUGGACAUAGAAGGGCCAUCAGCUCCCCCACCCACAGAUGCCUCUCAUGAAGCUUUAGAGUUGGAGCCCAGUAAGGAAGAAGGAUUUCCCCUCCUCGCCCAGCCAGCACCAAAAGAAGACAGUGACCCACCUCUUAGUCCAAAAGAAGAACCACAAAUGUCAGAAGCAUGAUCCACCUCAACACCAAGGGAAUGAAGCCGUUCUGUCCGAAGAAGUUGAAGAAUAAUAGCACCUAGUUCAUCCUUAUGUCUUGGGGAAGUGAAGUUUACUUCACUUUUGUUCAACCCCCAAAGUAGACGAAUCGUCUUGUAGAACGCUUAUUUCCUCCAUUACUAUGUUGUAAACCGCCCUCUUAUUCAAAAUAUAUAUUUGUGCUUGUUGGUUGUGCUAAAUAAUUGAGUGCUCUAUGUUGUUCCCUUAUGGGAUGACAAGUCUUAAAACUUGCACCUUUUUAAAAUAUAACGCCUUAACAAAAAAAAACAACAUCACUCAAUAGAUCUAACCCUUAUCUAAUGCUUUCUCAUCUUAACCAACAGAUGCCUCCCAAACCAGCUAUCCGCUCUCAACCAAGUGGUCGUGCAGCUAGUAGGCAAAGCCAAAAUCCAAAUGGAAGUCAAGCCAAUGCAAAUGUUGAUGGUAUUCAUGAAGAUGAAGUGAGUCAGACUAGGAACCAUAAUGAAGGAGAUGACUUGCCCCCUCCUCCAGUAAUUGACUUAGCACAAGUAAUGGCAACUCAAACUCGCCUUUUGGAGACCUUGGCUCAUGGCAUGAACUGCCCCAGGAACAACCGUGGAGCCGGAGUCCAAGACAAGAUGACUGAGUUCAUGAGGCUUAAGCCACCCACCUUUACUGGAUCUGACAACCCCAUGGAAGCAGAUGAUUGGCUUAAGGUGAUUGAAAGGAAGUUGGACACAAUCCACUGCGAUGGAAGGGAUAGAGUUCUGCUAGCAUAUCAUCAGCUGACAGGAAUUGCCCUUUCUUGGUGGGAAGCCUAUAGUGGAGCUGUGGACAAUGCCAACACGAUCACAUGGGAAGAAUUUGUGGAUGAAUUUCGCCAGUACCACAUUCCAGAUGGGAUCAUGAAGCUGAAGGCUGAUGAAUUUCGCAACUUGAAGCAAGGAAAUAAAACUCUGAGUGAAUACAUCUUCCAAUUCACUGAGUUGUCUCGCUAUGCCCCAGAAUUGGUCAACACUGAUGCCAAGAAGCAGACAAAGUUCAUAGAAGGAUUGACCUGUGAGCUUAGAACCUUCAUGACUCCACAGAUCUAUCCAGACUUCAACACUUUGAUGAACAGGACCAUUCUGACUGAUGUGGCCAAGACUGAAGAAAGGAAAGAGAACAAGCGCAAGUUUCUAGAGCGCAAGGUUCAAGAUGGUGCUAGAUCCCAGAGGCUGAAAACCUUUAGCCAACCAAGCCAGCGGACUCAAGCCCCAAUGCAGUUUCGCUCUCCUGCUAGUGUCUCCAAUAACCAAAUGCAGUCAUCAUAUCAGCCCAAGACAACCUAUCAGAAUCAAACUUAUGGCAAGGCUCAACAGAACAGCACUGGUCAAGUCACAAACAAUGACAGAACUUGCUUUAAUUGCCAUGAGACUGGACACUACAUUGCCAACUGUCCCUACAAGAACAACCCACCAGCAGUAUCCACUCAGUCCCACACUGUUAAUGGACCAAGACCUGCAGUUUCUGGAGCCAACCGUGGUUUCCCUCGCAACAAUAGCAACACCAACAAUAAUAGCCAGAUGAUGAAGCAACCUCAACAAUCCUAUGGUAGAGCCCGUGUCAACCAUAUUCAUGCUCAGGAUGCUCAGACUGCUUUAGGAGUGGUACUUAGUUAGUUCUUAGUCGAUUCAGUACUUGCAACACUAUUAUUUGAUUCUGGAACAUCACAUUCAUUCAUAUCAUCAAGUUUUGUUGAGAAGCAUCAAAUACCCACAGUACUACUAAAGUUACCCCUAAUAACCCGAACGCGUGGGUCUGACAUCAAAUGUCAUCUAGGUUGUUCAAAUGUAAGGAUCAUUCUAAGUGGGGUAGUUUUCUUAGCAGACUUAGUAGUGCUCAAGUCCAAAGUAAUAGAUGUUAUCCUUGGAAUGGAUUGGUUAACCAGACACAAUGGAAUUAUUAGUUGUGCAACCAAGGAAGUAUCAUUAGUUAACCAUGAAGGGAUUAAAGUGAAAUGGCAAACCCGAGGGUCUAAAGUUAAUCCAAUGGUCUUCAACUUGGAUGCAAGGACCAUAGAGGAAGUACCAAUAGUGCAAGAAUACCCUGAUGUAUUCCCUGAGGAACUACCUGGAAUGCCACCAUACAGGGAUAUAGAGUUCAUCAUUGAUCUUAUCCCCGGGACUGCCCCCAUAGCUAAGAGACCUUACAGAAUGGCUCCAGCAGAGUUAGCUGAACUGAAAGAGCAGCUAAGAGAAUUGUAGCAGAAAGGUUAUAUUAGACCUAGUUCUUCACCAUGGGGAGUCCCAGUCUUGUUUGUGAAGAAGAAAGAUGGAAGUAUGAGAAUGUGUGUGGAUUAUAGGUCCCUAAAUGAAGUCACCAUCAAGAAUAAGUAUCCCCUACCAAGGAUAGAUGACCUUUUUGAUCAGCUUAAAGGAGCCAAGUAUUUCUCUAAUAUUGAUUUGAGAUCAGGUUAUCACCAACUCAAGAUCAAGAAUAGUGAUGUCCCCAAGACAGCCUUUGUAACCAGAUAUGGACAAUACGAGUUUACAGUGAUGUCUUUUGGAUUAACCAAUGUCCCUGCCUAUUUCAUGAACCUCAUGAAUAAGGUAUUCAUGGAAGAGUUAGAUAAGUUUGUUGUAGUCUUCAUUGAUGACAUACUUAUCUACUCUAAGAGUGCGGAGGAACAUGGGCAACACUUGAGAGUAAUGUUGGAAAAGCUAAGAAGACACAAGUUGUAUGCUAAAUUCAGCAAAUGUCAAUUUUGGCUUGAGAAGGUUGCAUUUCUAGGUCAUAUCUUGACAGCUGAAGGAGUUGCAGUUGACCCUGAGAAAGUAGAAGCUGUCUCCCAUUGGCAGCAACCCACCAAUGUGAGUGAGGUUAGAAGUUUUCUUGGAUUAGCUGGAUAUUAUCGAAGGAUUAUAGAAGGAUUUUCCAAGAUAGCCAGACCCAUGGCAGAGCUUCUUAGGAAGGACAAGAAAUUCACUUAGACAGAAUCAUGUGAGAAGAGUUUCCAAGAGUUGAAGAAGAGACUGACAACAGCACCAGUGUUAACUUUGCCAGACAUUCACCAAGAUUUCAUCAUAUACUGUGAUGCCUCAAGACAAGGUUUAGGAUGUGUUCUCAUGCAAGGAGGAAAAGUGGUUGCUUAUGCAUCCCGUCAGCUUAGACCUCAUGAGCAAAAUUACCCUACCCAUGAUUUGGAGUUAGCAGCUAUAGUACAUGCUCUCAAGAUUUGGAGACACUACCUCAUUGGAAACAAGUGUGAAAUCUACACUGAUCACAAGAGUUUGAGGUACAUCUUCACAUAGUCAGACUUGAACCUAAGGCAAAGAAGAUGGUUGGAGUUAAUCAAGGACUACAACCUUGAGAUUCAUUACCACCCAGGAAAGGCCAACGUGGUAGCAGAUGCCCUAAGCAGAAGGUCAUAUGGUCAGCAGUUGGUGCCUAAGAACACUCACCUACAAGAAGAGAUAGCACACUUGAACACGCCAACCUCAAAAUGGGAGUCUGAUGGCGCAGCCAACUCUUGUGGAAGAAAUCAAACAGACACAACAUAAGGAUAAGGAUCUGAUGAAGAUUCGUGAGCAAACUGGAGAAAAUAAAGCUCCAUACUUCAGAGUGGAUAACAAAGGAGUAUUGUGGUAUAAAAAUUGGAUUUGUGUGCCCAAGGAGGGAAAGUUUCAAGAAUUAAUCCUUGAUGAAGACCAUAACUCAGCUUAUUCUAUCCACCCCGGUGCCACCAAGAUGUACAUGGACCUAAAAGAAAGAUAUUGGUGGAAUGGCAUGAAGGCUGAUGUGGCACGAUUUGUUGCACAAUGUGAUGUUUGCCAAAGGGUUAAAGCGGAGCAUCAAAAACCAGCAGGCUUGCUCCAGCCAUUGCCUAUUCCUGUUUGGAAAUGGGAUGAGAUAGGCAUGGAUUUUGUGAAUCGAUUACCCAAAACUCUGAAAGGAAAUGAUUCAAUAUGGGUAAUAGUGGACCGCCUUAUCAAGGUUGCUCACUUCAUACCUGUACGCACCAAAUAUAGUGGAGACAAGUUAGCCCAGCUAUAUGUGGAUAACAUAGUCAAAUUGCAUGGUGUGCCAAGUAGGAUUGUAUCAGACCGAGGUAUCCAAUUUACCUCUACGUUCUGGAAAAGUUUGCAUGAAACUAUGGGAACCAAGCUAGAUUUUAGCUCAGCUUAUCAUCCUCAAACAGAUGGUCAGACUAAAAGAAUAAAUCAGAUUAUGGAAGAUAUGCUAAGAGCAUGUGUGCUCACGUAUGGUAAAGAUUGGGAGAAAAGCCUAACUUAUGCAGAGUUCUCCUAUAAUAAUAGUUACCAAGCUAGUUUGGGCAUGUCACCUUUUGAGGCCAUGCAUGGAAGAAAAUGUAGAACCCCAUUGAUGUGGUCAGAAGUUGGAGAACGAACCUUGCUUGGACCAGCCCUUAUAAAAGAAGCAGAAGAUCGUGUAGCUGAAAUCAGAGAAAAAUUGAAAGAGGCACAAUCACGUCAAAAGAGCUAUUCUGAUAAAAGGAGAGAGUUAAGUUUUGCAGUUGGAGAUUUUGUGUAUCUCAAAGUCUCUCCUAUUCGAGGAACUCGAAGGUUCCAAGUUAGAGGCAAGCUAGCACCACGGUAUAUUGGACCAUAUCAAGUAUUACAGAGGAUUGGAGCUGUAGCCUAUCGUGUUCGGCUACCUGAAGAAAUGUCAGAUAUACACAAUGUGUUUCAUGUCUCCCAAUUGAAGAAAUGUCUUAGAGUACCAGAGGAACAAAUAUCGCCAGACACAGUUGAUUUACAAGACGACCUAAGAUAUCAAGAAGUGCCAAUAAAAAUCCUAGAUACAGUCAGCAAGCAAACUCGAACGACAACAGUCCGAAUUUGUCGUGUUCAGUGGAGUAGACACACUGAAGCGGAAGCAACAUGGAAAAGAGAAGAUGCUCUGAGAAAAGAGUUUCCUCAUCUUUUUAGGACCCAGCCGAAUCUCGAGGACGAGAUUCCUUUUAAGUGGGGUAGGUUUGUAACAUCCCAAAAAUUCACAUUCAAAAAUCACUCGUAUUAAAAAUUAUUUUCAAAAUAUAUUUCAAAAACUAUAAAAUAAUUUGAGCUCUGUUGUAUCUCCAUCUAAUCCAUCCAUAUUUUUUCGCGCACAAAUAACAGCGAGUACCAGCAAGCUUACAUGCAAGAAAACAUAGCAGUGCACCUACACGAAUAUAUAUCUCAUGCAUGCAUGCAGGACGAGCAUGCACCGUCCAUUUGCAUGCACCUGCAUGCAAGGACACGGUGAUUAGGCACCGUCCAUUUGCAUGCAUCGUGCAUGCAAAUUAGGCACCGACCAUGCGCUACAGUAGCAUUUUUAAUGGCACGCAGCUGAGCGCUUUGGCCUAUAAAAAGCCAGCCUCGGGUGCUCACUCUCACCACCCGAGAAGCACGUUCACUCACUCGCUCACUCACUCUCACUUCGCGUAUACCGUAUACGGCCAUACGCACAAGCCGAGCUCGACUGUCGUCGUAACACGAGGUGAGCAGCUCAUGAGCAUCUCCUUGCUCUUCUCUGUCUUUCUGUAGUAUUUUCCUGUAUUUUUCCUUGUAUUUGUCUAUACCGAUUCACUGCCAAGAACUCCACAAACUAAACAAUGAUAUACAGAAGAACUCUAAUGAUCCCUGCUAAUUUAUCACUUCACAUGCAUGCGUGGGCCAUAAGCAUUAACUCCAAAUAGUACAUGCAUGCAACAUGCACUACCAGCCAAGCAAAUGCCCACGUGAAGCAUCCAUUCCUUAAUCACCGUUAGCCUUUUUCGCAUGAUUAAAUUUCGGCCAGUUUACAAAUACCAUAUGCUAACUCUGAUUUUAAUAAUUCUUUUUCCUAAAUUCAUCUAAAAUCAUGAUCUACCUCCCAUAUUAAUUUCAUGAUUUUUAGAGCAUAUUUGAAUUUAUGGGAUUAUUUAUCUGUGCUUGUUGUCUGUGUCGGUCGUCGCGUAUUUUAGCUGACGGAGUGAACGAGCCGGAAAACGAGAACGUUGAAGACGAGUACCGCGAGUUUGACGCCGAGGACCCGGACUGUCAGCAGGAGUUUGCCGAGGACGCCGACGGAGGCAAGUCCAACCGAUUCCCUUUGAUGCAUAUUGAUCCUAUUUUUAAACACAACCCGUAUAAGCCGUUUUAAAUAUUGCAUGUACGAUAUAUGUACGAAGUAUUUUCGCUGCUUAGUUAAAACCUGUUGAAUAGCCAUCCUUGAAUUGAUAUUACCUGGUAAUUGUCUUGUUCGAACCUAGGAACAAAUAAUAUGCUAUGACAGAAAUAUUAUUAUUUAGUAUGCUUAGGACUUGUUACUCAUCCUGGAUACUCAUCGCUAUAUUUUAUCAAAUAUAAUGAUUUUAAAAGUAAAAGGUGUGAGUGGUGAAAAUAAAUUGUGGGUAUUGUGAAAGGGUUAACGAACAAGUUAUAGAUGUGAUUACUACGGAGAUGGGGCGGAUGGGAUCUCUUUUGGGGAUGCCCUGGUGUUGUGGCUUAUACCUUGCGGGGUUAAGCGUGAAGAUAUCCGUCUUGUCUCGAUUAAGGACUGAGUUGAUUUAUCGUACAACCACUCGCCUUGCAUGGGAAAGGCUUAGUCUAAAUCCCUCUAGUUAGUAUGGCAAUCACCUGGAGGCAGGUGUGCAACGGGACACUAAGUGAUGUAUGUGAAGUUGAGGAAAUAUAUGAAAAGAGCUUUGUGAAUUAUUCUAGUAUCAUGAGAUGUGGCCUUAGUGUUCCCGUGGUGAGCGCCAUUACUUAGCUAUGGAGGGUAAUGACUUUGAUGGAUCUGUGCUUGCACGACGGUGUAAGUUAUGUUAUCCUACUUGUGGGAAAACUGUACAACCUCUGCAGAGUGUAAAUCUAUUUGGAUAGCCGUGUCCGCGGUCUCGGACGGGUUAUGGUUUGGUUUCAACAACUAGAUGGGUUGGGAUGAGUGAAAACAUGUGAGAGAGUGUGAUUUUGGAAAUAAAUGGUUGACUGCCAUUGUGUUGUGGGAACAAGGGUUCAACAACACUUAAAAUUGUGAUCAAACCCCCAUUUUCAAAAAUACUAUCAUAUGUGGAAAAAGAGUUCUUUUACAACAGUACUUGUGAAAUGAAACCUUGCAUGUGUAAAAAGAUAGCUUUAUGCAAAUAAAACUAAGCAUCAUCCUUGAUUUAUCCAUAUGCAUAUAUAUUGUUAUCCCCUUCCGUAGGGUAAGGUUGGAUUUGCUGAGUACUUUGUACUCACCCUUGCUUUAUUAAACAGAGGAAGAUCUGGACUUCGAUCUCGAAGUGGCGUUCGAGUAAGGUCAUGUCUGCACCCAACUAAGCCUGUGGCAUUGGGACUUGUCAGAUGUUCGGUUGUGAAAUCGUUUGUUUCUGGGUCCUUUGGACCUAUGUUGUAUUUUGGUGUCUUAUUAUUAUAGAGUGCCUUCAUUGUCCACGCUUAUCGAGACAACUGCGCUGAAACUUAUCUAAUGUAAUAAAUGUGUUACUAGCCUCCUGGGACUAGUAUUGUAUUACAUUUGAGUUCCUGGUUUACCAGGGGCGCUUCACAUCUGGGGUGUUACACCACCUAUUCGUUGAAAUGCUUCAAUGGGAGAUGCAUGGCGAGCACGUGGCUGCCAUGCCCGAGUGCGCGCCCCUCCUCCUCUGCUGCUCGCCUAGGAGCCCCCAUGCCCGCCUGUCGAAGUGGAGAGGCACCUCAACGCCUUCCUCAUCCCUCUCCACCCUCGGCUCGCUCUCUCCCUCGCUCUAUGUCGGCUCCAGAGCGGAGGCACCAUGGCCACCACUAGAGCUCUCUCCUUCCUCACGGUCUCACCACUCCAGUGCUUCUCCAACCUUGCUGGCUGCGCCCUAGUCAUCUGCACGAAGCGCCGCUCCUUCCAUGCUCUUUUUUUUCAGGUGCCGCUCAUGGCUAUUAGUCCUGGUCGACGGAGCAGCAGUGCUGCUGCUGCUGGCUACAUGGCCAGGCCGUCUGAGAGUGGCUCAGGCCCAGCUGAGUGGUGUGGAGGAUGCGGGCAAGCCUCCUGGUGCUUCCCCACACCUCCAUCGUCGCCGACGAGGCCUCAGCCGACCGGAGCAGAAACCUGUCCUCUGUUUUCGUGGCGACCAGAGACCUGGGGUUAGAAUAUGAAACAACUCAGGCUUUCAGAUGCGAACCACAGACUCAUAUGAAUAGUGCUCUGGACGGCGGGUUGAUUCGGAGAAAGUUCAGGGUUCCAGAUGCAAAGUCGUUUUCCUUUAUCUUUUGUUUUUGCAGAUUUCUUCUAUGAACUUUAGAAAUGCAUAGUAAUUCAUAGAAAAGACGAAAAAUAGCAAGUGUGGACUUUUUGGAAUCCUUAUGAAAUUCUCUAUGCAGUAGAUCUAUAAUAUGGCCUGGUUUAGUUUGAAGUUUUAGUCGUAAAAAUAGAUUUAUGCAGUUAGGUUUUAAUUGCUUGUUAGAAUUGUCUUUUUCAUAACUGCUGUAGUAUUGCUCCAAUAAAUGUGAAAAUAUUGUGACAUGCUUUGCAUGAGAUAUUUGAUGUCCGGAAUUUGUUUCAUGAAUUUAGGAUUGAUAGAUUAAGAGUUAUAAAAAUAACAAAUGGCCUGUGUUGCUUUGCCCCUAUUCUGAGUGGAUCUGCAUGUUUGUAUUGUUUGGCUCAGUUAAGUUGUGAAUCUUGCCUGGAUGAAAAUAUUAUGUUUUAGGGAUUUUUAUAAGCUUUCCAAAAAGAUAAAUAGAACAAUUUUUUGGUUAAGCACAUGUUUAGUUAUAGUGGUUUAAAGUACUGUUCCAGUUUCUGUCUAAACUCAGAUAGGAUUGCAUUGUUUGUAAUGUAAGACCAUUUUAGUUGUAGAUUUAGCUGUACAAGUUUAUAACAAAGUUGUUCAAAAUUAUUUAUGGUUUCUAGGAAGUAUAUAACCAUAAUUUAUGGACAUGUGAAACUCAAGUUAUGGCUGUUUAAUUAGCAUGACAGAUUCUGUCUAUGUUUUGGACAGAGAUGUCUUUAUGGGGUUAAUUGACCUUGUUAACUGUGGAUUCAUAUUUUGAUGAUAAUAAUAAAGUUGUAGGUAACUUUAUGAGCUUUCCAAAAAGAUAAGAACCAUGUUUCCUGGAGUUCUACAACUCCAGUUAUGGUUCCUUGAAUUGCCUAUCAGUUUUCUGUUUGUAAUUGUACUUCUACUGUUUGGCAGCAUGAGCAGUUUUAUUUAUGCAAUUAAUUCCAGUAUAUAAAUGAUGUUUGCUGUGAAACUUGUAUAUAGAAAAGAUGUAGAUAAUUCACUAAUAUAUAUUGUGGUAAAGUUUCAUAUCAUUUGGCUAAGUGGUUUGUGAGUUGCAGUAGUAUGAAUUUCAUCCUUUAAAAUGCUUGUUCUCUGGAAAUUCCUGGACCAGAUUAUAUGGUCAUCCAUGUUUGACUUGGUUAACUUGUUAAUCAUGCUAAUAUGAUUAAAGAUGAAUUGUAGAUAAUUUGAUAAUCUUUUCAGAAUGUCCUAUUGCAUAGUUUUUGGAGUUGUGUAACCCCAGUUAUGAUUUAUUUACUGAGUUGUUGUAUGUAUGUCCAGAAUUGCUGAAAUACACGAAUGCUUAAUUGCUUUACUUGGUGUGUGCUAACUAUGAUACAUGUCUUUAGCAGUGAUUAAGUAAUACACUUGUAAACUUGUUAAACUUGUGUCAUGAUUGAUAUGCUUGCUCUCUAUAUUUGGUUAUGUAAUGUUAGUUAAAUAACUUAGAUGUCUGUGUCUUGCAUACUUUUAUGUGAUGCAUGUUGUGUUAUUAUUCUUUAUAUUCAUGCACUUGCAUCUUGCAUCUCAUCUAGGUGUGCUAGAUGAAUCACGUGAAGGUCUUGGUGUGGGAACAAACCCGAAGACGGUGUUGGGUGGACCCAUCCUGAAGGUGGAAGGACUAAGCAAGUGUUGUGACCUAAUAUGUCACCAAGAUGGAGCAACUAAUUGAACUGACUCCUUGUUGAUCCUAGGCAAGCCCCGGAGCAUUAUAAGUCUCCCACUACUUUUGAAUGCCAUUGAGAAUAUAUGUUAUAUAUGUAUUGUUGCAUUAAGUAUAGGAGUUGGGUGAAACCCUUGCUGCAUAUAUCACUCCUUGUCUAGUAAAUAUACCUAUAAACCUAUGUAGAUUCAGGAUCGAAUCUAAAUGCUUAGCUAUGCUUAGACCGGUAGAAGCCAGGUGAUGUCCUGUCACCUGAGCGAGAUAGGUGGACACCUAAAAAGGUUGGCUAUAUAUGCUAUCAUGGAAAUAACCAAGUGAUGAGGAUGAAUAAAUGGUGACUGGGCGGGACGAUGGUAGAGAAGUAACAAGACAUGGAGGUCUUGGGUGCCUAUCUAUCCCUGCCUGUGUCGAUUAAGGACCGAUCGUUGACGGCCCUCUUGUCAUGUUGAACGCAUGCCCCACACUUAGCUGGAAGGAUAAGUCGUUCCGACCACGAAGCCUGAACACUAUCCAGGUCGGGAGUCGAGCCGCCAUGCGCUGUAUUGGUGAUGGUUGAGGAGAACGACGAGGGCGCGGCGCGCAACCUUUGUAUACCUUGGAUACCUCGGUCGCCGGAACGGUCCUCGGGUACUGGCGGUGCCUGCCGAACCCGCGAAUUGGUCCUGGAUAGUGUAAUAUGGUGACCUGUAGCUCACUUUGGCCGGUGAGUGCGGUUUGUGUGGGGAAUAAAAUCGCCAGCUGGUUAGAAAUCGAUUCGAAUCGCCAUCGCUCCUGGACAGUGAGCACUUGACUUGAGCUUCGUCAUCAUAGUAAUGUUUAUGGAACACUUGGAUGGUUAUGGUAUGAUGAUGUUGGCAAUGCCACAUCAAAUAUGGGUACUAUGGUUGUAUCUUAAUCAAGUGAUUGCUCUAGUACAGGUGCUAAUAUAGAUGACAGGUAAUGAUUAUUAACUUGAGCUAAAUACCUAAAAAGUUACUUACCUGUAUCCUAAGCUUUUUAUGCAAAGAGUAUUGUCAAGCUAGCUCCACCAAUAAAGCCUUGCAUACUCCUUGGUGUCAUAUUAUUUCUGGUUUAUGACGGGUAAGUCUAGCUGAGUACCUUCUCGUACUCAGGGUUUAUUCCCACUUGUUGCAGGUUAUGAUGUAUCAUGGCUACUGCAAGAGUUGGAUGACUCUUACCAUAUUAGAGGAGUAAGAUCAUGGGCAUGAUCCUUCUUAGUUACCUCAUCUAUGUUGCUUUUGUUGGAGUUGACCUGGAUACUGUCAUGUAUUUGAAAUGAGGGCAAUAUUAGUUUUAAAUUACUUUGCUUUCGCCACUUUUCAACUCAAGUAGUAAUAACUAUCUUGAACUCUGAUGUAUAUCAAACUACUUGUGAAAUGGAUGUAACAUGUUACUUGUUAUGUUGAAUCACUACGAUCUUGGCUUGUAAGAUGGUUGGUUUGAAAUCCCUCGUGAUUUCACGGACUACCGGGUUUGUGAGAGUUCGAUUAUGUUAAAGCAACUGCUUUUGGCGGGAGUUUUUCAUAGUUGAUCUCUUGUAAAUUGGGCAGUUCUGUUACAGUUAAGAUAACCCCUUUGUGUGUGAAAAAGCUUAACCUUGGAUCAAACUUGACAAACAUUAGUUUACUUUCAAGUAUUGCAUUUCACCUCAUAUCAUAUGCAUGCUUGUUAGUUGACCGUUUCUUUUUGGUUAUGUUUUGAGCAUUCACUGUGUUCGUCCAUAGAUAGGGGGAGUAUUCAAAGCUCAUUAUGAUUUAAACCCCUAGCUUUAUGGCCAUACGAUGCUCCUUGGUGUUUUCUCUUGACUAUUUUCAUAAAAUCUACUAAGCUUAAGGCUAAAUAUUUUUGAAAAUUUGAGGGUUUGAGAGAAGGCACUCAUACCAGUUCCAAUUUGUGUUUAUUUGAGUCUUCUUGAAGUUGGAACUUGGUUGGGUAAAGGUUGGGCGAAGUUCAAAGUUGAAAAAGUAGCCAGAGGUGCACCGGACUCUCCUACAGAGCGUCUAGUGCGGUGAGUUUGCUGGACAGCACUCACCGGACGCAGGAACAGUGUCUCUACAGCGUCCGAUGAUGUGCGUCCGGUGCUCAGCCAGGCAUGCCCUAGGGCACCGGACGCAAAGGCCAGCGUCCGGUGGCCAUUGUCCGGUGCUCAGCCGAAUUAAAACACUCUCUGUGUUUUAGUCCGGUGGUCACCGGACGCGUCCGGUGCCACAUUAAGAGCGUCCGCUGACCCCGCGUGGGCGCAUAUAACCCGCGCCUAGAGACCUUUCGCGGGCAAUUUUCUUUCUUCCCCGCGACUUCACCCAACCUCCGCCCAUGCCCUAACUCGCCGAUCCGCCGCCGCCGCCCGUGGAUUCAAGCUUUCCCCGGCGAGAUCUCUUCCUCCUAGUGCAAAAUCUUCCCCAAGGGCUCCUCCAUCCUCUCCUCGUGCCGUGAACUGAUUCUCGCGUGAAGUUUUAGGGUUUGGGGUGAGCUCCUUUCUCUACGCACUUAAGGUGUGUGGUUUAAUGCCUAAACAAAUUUGGAUGUUGUUGUUGACAAUAUUCUCCUUCGUUUACCCUUCAUAGCACCUUGAGGAGUGCUGAUAUUUGGUAACGCAAUAAGGAAAUGAUCCGCAAGCGCACGGAUAUCGGUGAGCAUUUCACUCGGGAGGUUAUCUAGAGUUAUCGUAUUUAUAUUUUUACUACUGGGAGAAAGGGUGCAUCUGACUAACCAAAUCUAUUGCUACUAUCCCUUUAGGCUACAAAGAAUGUUUCUCGAUGUGAGCGAUGUAUAGAGAAGACUGCAACCGUAGUCUCCUUCUAACCUUGGUAAGGAUGAUCUACUGUUCUAUUGGGGAAGCUUACGGAAUCUAGACACCACAAAGGAUGUUCGACCCGCACCUAUAAACCUACCCGUCCUGCUAACGAGAUGUGGGAUGCAAAGGUAACUCGGAAAUGUCAGGUUCCUCGCUACUACCACGGUCCAGCUAGUCAGGGGAUAUCUAUGAGUACCCUAGCCCAAACACCACGUUUACGCUAGCAAUGAUUACUCUAAUACUCAACCGGAAGAGAUUAAAGUAAACUCAUAAACAAAAGAACAAUAAAGCAAGAACUUACUGGAAUUAGAAGUCGAAUUACUGAAGAAUCCUAGGAGCAAGCCUCGGGUACAACCUCGGAGUAGACACCGACAGGCCGGGCUUCCUCCGAUGUACACCUCCACUCUAUCUCUCUCAAUCUAGUAGAAACUAGAAGAUCUAAUUCUACUCACAUUGGAUGCUAAGCCUAAAAGAAAUUUUAUUUAGAGGAGAGGUAUUCCUUCGAGGGCUCCUCUCAACUCUAUGAUGAACUUGUUCUCCUCCAGGGGCCAGGGGUUCUGCUUAUAUAGUCCUCCUCCUCUGUGCAUUUUUGGUUCAGCAGGCGAUGUGGUACUAAACUUUCCGCCAUAUCUCAUUAAAAUGCACAUAGGCCUUAAUGGGCCAAAAUCUGAUUUGGGCCCAAUUAUCCCGCAGCUCUUUUAUGUGGAGUCUUUCUUUUAUUAAUAUCUCUUGAUUCUGAACUCCAAAUUUAGCAAAUAAUAUAUGCAUUUCGAUCAGCUCGACAAGAUCUUUGUAAUGGUGUACACCAUUCUGGGAUUGGUGCUUGUACCAUGGCGGGCGCCCAAGGGGGGAGGGCGGGCGCCCUGCCCCCGGGCCCGUUCGGCCUCUCGUUCGUUCCAGUGGCUUCUGGAGACUUCCAGAUGAUAGAAAAUUGCGCGGCACGUUAAUAUCUCUAUGUAAACCCGACGUGUGGGCCUUUCCUUCAAAUUUCCUAAUAACCCCCUAUAGAAAUAAACAAACACCAAAACUCGUGGAAUUCUGUCAGAUAAAACCCUAAGUCUAGGUGUUGGUUGCAUUUGGAUCCUUUUCUUUAUUUAUUUGAUGAUUAUAUUUGGUACUUAAGGACCAUCAACAAACUCCCCCAAGCUUACCUCUUGCUCGUCCCUGAGCAAGGAUGGACUCAAGAGUUUCUACAAUGGUUUCAUGCCUUAAAAGUACACAUGCGUUCAAGCAAGAUCUCAUCUCUGAGUUAGAAUAAACUGUUAAGACUUAAAACUUACUCAUUUUACCUUUCACCAUGGGGCUUGUAACAAUCACUUUUGUCUUGAGCAGUUAAAAGAUCGGUCAAGUCAAGCACCAUGUCUCUUAUUCUUUGAUCAACUAUAGCUCUAUAGUUUUUGUAGAUUUUCAAAAUAAAACUCAGAGAUUCCUUGUAUGACUCUCUCAAAUCUGUCUUUUAUGGUAUUUCUAGAUCCUUACCAAGACAGUGAUGAUAUACGCCUUCUCUCAAAGUAUAUAGUAUUUGUGGUAUGAGGCAUAGUGAUAUUGCCUUCUCUCUCACCCUACUCUAAUAAGGUUUCAUAUCUGGAGCACAUAGGUGGGAGACAGCUAAUACAUACUUACAAGACAUUUAUUGCAUAGUCAAACUAUGGAUCCAGAGAAACAAGUCAAUAAGUCAAAUCAAGAUGUGCAUGUGUGGCGAGUGAAUAGUGUAUGGUGAUGAUGGCGAUAACAAUGGUGAAAGUCUAAUUCUACUUUUGCUCUUUUAAGGCGAUACAUACCUUUCUUGCACUUUGAAGCUUUUUGAAGAGAAUGAGAUGCUCUAUAUUUUCUUUUUCUUUCCUCUCAGGUGGGUAUCUUGUACCCCUAAUUCUACUAUCGGACACUUGUCCAUUUUUACCUCUCGUCUCACUUUUUCUUUUCUUCGAGGUUGUGGGCACUUGCCCCUUUUUAUUUCCUCGUAUUUUUUCUCUUUUUUUUAGAGCACUCAUCUCCUGAAAUAAUAUAGCAAGUGGUAGUAACCAAGAUAACUCGAGCAUCAUUACACAGGGAAUAACAGGGAUAGGAUAAUGUUUUUGGCUAUUCUCUGCCGGAUUAGGAGUAGAAUACUUUUGGGUGGAUCUGGAGAUGGAAAUGAGUGGAUGUAUGUGGAUGCGUACUUCCGGAGUAGAAGCAGCAUAUACGAGUGAACGUGCAAGUGAAUCUUGAUUUUAACCACAUGACAAGCUCCUAAGGGUCUACACAGCUUGACCACACUCAAUGCUCAUAAGCAGUAAAAAGUAAAUGUAUGGCUCAAAGUCUAGCAAGCAUGUAUAUAUGGCUGUGGUAGGAAUUUAAACUCUCAUCAUACAGAAACUCAUCAUGUGUUAUUUUAAAGAAUUUUAAAGAUAAAAUUCUCCAGAAUUCUAGCAUCUCUAGGAACAGAUAAACAGCAGCUCAACCUUCCCAUAUCAUAUACGUUAACGACUUAGACUUUAGAUCAAGUACUCUUCCCACAAGUUCAGGUUUAGAGCAGGUUUAAAUUAUAACAGUUAUGCCUAAACUUGAGAGAGAUUUUAAUUUUAAGAACUAGUCAUGGUAGAGCAACUAUUCAUCAUUUCCAUGUGAGAGUUUAUCAUGAGGGUUCAUAGCAAACUUUAUUUAUUUAUUUAUUUAGCCAACUAAGCAAAGAUAUAUAUGAAAGCACAAAAUCUUUAUUUGGGUUUUUAUGAUUAUGCAUCUUUUUAUUAUUUGAAUAAAGUAUAAACGCGAGUACAAACACUUAGCUGGAUAAAUGGGGGUGCUCUCCCUAAGCUGGAUUUUGACGUAAUUUCUUCUGAUGUAGCUAGCAGGUGGCGGAGGUGUAUUUGAAUGUCGGCAGAACCCUGAUAGCGAUUAGGAUGUCCUCCGUCUGCUAGUCUUCUUUGAUCCUUGAAUUCUAUGGAGCUCAAAUAGACAACAAAGCUUUGUGGAACUGGUUAAGUGUUAGCAUAAAAUCUCAUUGCCUUUAUCAUACUGAGCUUCCUCCUAAUAAAUUUUAUUUAGCAGGCUCAUGCACUUAUUAUUUAUAUUUUUAUUGUAAGAUGAAAACCUAUUUAUUUUAUGCCACCACAGUCAGUAUACCUAUGGGUUUUUAAACCACAAGUCUACUCAUAUUUGGCUUACUAUUUUUAACAUUUUUAUUUUCUUUUCAAGAUAGCAUGAACCUGGUUAACUAAGCAAACUAUAAUUGAAUAAUUUAGAGGAAAAGGAUAACUACCAAGUUUACCUCUUGGCAAGGCGUUCGGUGUUUUUAAGUCCUCCGAACGGGACUCCUUGUGUUUUCAGUUGUCCUGGGGUUCGCUAGGUGGCGUAGUCGGUGGUUCCGGCGGAGCCUCCUCUUCGUGUAUAACUAUCUUCUUUUCCUGACUCGGUGCUAUGGUCUCCUCAGGACAGUUCUGUGCAAGUUGUAUGUCUUCAGGCCUUACCACUUAUCCUUCGUAGUCUGCCCAUCCGUCCUUGAUGAUUUUCCUCCUCUGGUUGCGGUUGUGUCGUGUUCUUCUCAUCCUGAUUUUGAUAGUGUUGAGGAACGGUCUUCCAAGGAUGAUGGGUGGAUCAUACUCGUCUUCUCCCAUGUCAAUGACCUGAAAAACCAUCUGGAGCUGAAUGUAUGUUGGUUGUAGGGGCACGGUUUCAUGCAGGAGCUGAUAAGUGACUGCUGCCAUUAUGUUGACGUCAGAUCCGAUGUCGUAGAGUGUCUUCUGAAAAGACUAUCCAUUGAUUGUGCAAUUGAUGCUUGGAACACCAGGGUCGUCCUUCUUGAUCAGGAAAGGCGACUUGAGUCGACGAUCUUGACCUCCUCCGACAAGGAUCCAAUGUUUUAAGUCUUCUGGACAAGACUUCUCACCGUCUUCAUCCUUUAGGGGCAUCAUUUGAUUAGGUGUGGACCUUGACAUCUGCACCUCUUGAUACGGAGUCACCCAUGUUCUUUGGUUGCUCAGCAGUUUGAAGUGUGGUGUUGGUAAUAUCCUGCUCAGUGUGUUUGUGCUCGUAGAACCAGGUCCUUCACUUGGUGGAGUCUGGGAGUUGUAAAACUCCUCCAUGUUUUGCUUGAAGUGUACCUGUUCAUAGAGACAAGGCAGAGAUCAAGUGCAUGGGUCAUGUUGGUGGAAAACACCAAGAGAACCAAAAGUGUAUUUGUUCUUCUCUAUCAUUAAGCAUAGUUGAAAGCCCUAGUUUGGUUUUGGAUAACUGAUGAAACCCUAGCACUAACCUCUAUACUAAGUGUGCGUAGACUUAAUGAGGUUGGUACAUGCCAAGUGAUGGAGCAAGUAAUGAUCAUGGUGAUAAUGGUGAUGACCACAAGAUGAUAAAGUGCUCAACUUGGAAAAGAAGAAAGAGAAAAACAAAACCCUAUGGAGAUCAAGGCAAAGGUAUUGCUUAGGGUUUUGGUUUUGGUGAUCAAGACACCAUAGAGGGUGUGAUCAUAUUUAGGAUAGAUAGCCGUACUAUAAAGAGGGGAAUUCUUUGGCUAAGCGGUUACCAAGUGCCACUAGGUGUCAUUGUUCAUGUUCAUGCAUUUAGAACCUAGUGAGCUAACUUAACUCCUUCAAAGAAAUUGUUUGUGAAAAUGCUAACACACGUGCACACUUGUUGGUACACACGUUGUGGUGUUGGCACACUUUGAGAAGGAGGUGGAGUUUGAAGAGUAGAGAGAGGAUUCGGCGCUUUUCGAGAAAAUGAAGUGCAUAUUUUCUAUUGCGCCGGUGGGAAUUUUUGGAGAAGUCGCGGGAGUGUUUCUCGCUGAGAAAACACUCACCGGACGCUGGCUUCUGGAGCACCGGACGCUGAGUCUGAGCGUCUGGUGCAGACAGUGCCUGACCCAGCUAGGGUAAGGCACCGGACGAUAGGCACCGGACGCUGGCUUGAGCGUCUGGUGGUUAGCGUCCGGUGUGCGGGCGUUUUUGCGACCCUCUCUGCGCAUGGGUCCGGUAAGCCCCGGACGCUACCGGUGCUUAGCGUCCGGUGACCCUGCGAGUUUGUGGAGCUCUCUGCGCAUGAGUCCGGUGUGCACCGGACACAUCCGGUGCCAACCUGCUCAGCGUCCGGUGCUCUGCAGGUUACCGUUAGACUCUGACACGCGGCUGACUUUGGAGCACCGGACGCAGGUGUUGAGCGUCCGGUGCCCCUUUAAGAGCGUCCGGUGACCCCAUAUUUCGCCCAGUGAAAGAGCCAACGGCUCUAUUUGUUUGAGGGGCUAUAAAUACGUGUUUGGCCGGCUUGGGGCUCACACUCUUGGCAUUCUAGCAUACAUAACAUCCUUGUGAGCCUAAGCAAACACCUCCCACUCAUCUCCUUCAUAGAUUAAACAUCUUUGUGAGAUUGGGAAUGAUUCCAAGUGUAUUUGCUUGAGUGAUUGCAUCUAGUGGCACUUGGGGAUCGAUUUGGCUGCGGUUUUCUUGUUACUCUUGGUGGUUGCCGCCACCUAGACGGCUUGGAGCAGCGGAGGAGGAUUGGCACGAGUUGGUGAUUGUUCGUGGCCAUCUCCCGGCGAUUGUGAGAGGUUUAUGCCUACCUCGGCGGAGAGCCAAAGGCAACAUUAGUGGAUUGCUCGUGUCAUUGAGCUACCUCACUUGUGGGUAGGUUCUUGUGGUGUCCUAGUGAGGACGAGGUUCGUGCUACACCUCUUAGCCACCGAACCACCAAGUGUUGGUCGACACAACGGGGACGUAGCGUGUCGGCAAGCACGUGAACCUCGAGAGAAAAAUUGUGUGUCUCCAUUGUGAUUGUUCAUUGGAUUUCUCCCGGUGAUUGGACUUCAUAUUAUUGAUUGGUUCAUCCCCUCUAUACGGCGGUAUAAAGUUAAAACCAUCUCUUUUACAUUCCCGCAAACUAGAGUAGCUUACUUACUUGUAUAGAAACUUUAGGUAGCUUUCUAGUGUAAGUAGUGACAUAACUCUUGUGUGCCUAGUGUUUAUAUCAACUAGAAUUGUUGGAUAGGUGGCUUGCAAACACCCCAUUAGAGCUAGAGCAAAUAGCUUCGCUUUGUUAUUUCUUAUCCUCUUCCUCUAGUGAGUUUGUAGAAUUUUUAAAUAGGCUAUUCACCCCCCUCUAACCAUAUUAGGACCUUUCAAGUGGAAUCAAAGCCGUGGUCACCGUUUGUGAAGGCUUAACAACCUCGGUGCUCAAAUUAUGGCUCAAAUAGUGUUCAACCAUGUUGGGUGCAAACCACUGUUCUUUGAUGGCACAAGUUCUUUUGACUAUUGGAAGAGAAAGAUGAAAAUGUAUCUUGGAUCAAUCAAUGAUAGAGUGUGGGAAGUCACCGAAAAUGACUUUGUGAUUCUUGAUCCGGCUAACCCCACCGACAAUGAGAGAGCAAACAAGCAAUGCUAUGGCUCUCAACACAAUUUAUAAUGGCAUUGAUUCAAAGGUGUUUGAACAAGUCAAAGAUCUUGAGAAGGCAAGUGAAGUGUGGACAAGACUAGAAGAAACAUAUGAGGGCACUACAACGGUAAAAAGUGCCAAGUUAUACAUGCUCAAGGACAAGCUUUCCAACUUCAAGAUGAAGGAUGAUGAGUCCAUACCGGAGAUGUUCUAUAGGCUCCAAGUCAUCAUCAAUGAUCUCAUGGACCUUGGUGAGAAAGUGAAGGAUGAGGACUUCAUUCACAAGUUCUUAAUGUGCUUGCCCAAGAGGUUCAAGACAUUGAGAACAAUCAUAUUUAGAGGAGCAUUGACGGGUGUAUCUCCCAAUGAGGUACUUGGAGAUGUCAUGACCGAAGAUCAAUACAAUGACAAUGAUGAUGAUGAGGUCAUGAAGAAGGAUGAUGAUGACAAGAAGAAGAAGAGCGUAGCAUUCAAAGCUAGCUCUUCAUCCAAGAGCAAGAACAAGGGCAAGGCCAAGAAGGAAGAAUCAAGUGAUGAGGAGUGCUCCAAUGAUGAUAGUGAUGAUGAGGCACUAGCACUCUUUGUCCGCAAGUUUGGCAAGAUGAUGAAGAAGAAGGGCUAUCAUACAAGAAAAAGAAGAGAUCAGUUCAAGAACAAGGAGCAUGUGAGGCUAUGCUACAAGUGCAAAAGCCCCGAUCAUAUUGUGGCGGAUUGUCCUUACAAUAGUGACAAUGAUGAGCAUGAUAAGAAGAACAAGAAGGAGAACAAAGAAAAGAAAGAGAAGAAGAUGGUCUUCAAGAAGAAGAAGAAGGGUGGAUCAUAUGUUGUAACAUGGGAUAGUGAUGCUUCUUCGAAUGAUGAUUUUAGUGAUGAUGACAAGGCAUCCAAGAAGAAGGCGCUUGCAAGCAUUGCUAUCAACAAGCCAUCACUCUUUGACACUCCUUCAUGCUUCAUGGCCAAGGGCCAUAAGGUACAAUUUGAUGAGAGUGAAAGUAAAAGUGAACAUGAACAUGAUAGUGAUAGUGAUGAUGAAAAUGAAUUCACUAAUGAACAACUCAUGGACAUGUUAGAACAAGCCGAUUCUCUUAUUCAAUCUAAAAACAAGAAGUGCAAAGAAUUGAUCAAGAAGUUAAAAGCUCUUGAGCAAUCCUUUGAUGAGCUCAAUGCUAAUCAUGAGAGGCUAGUGGAAGCCCAUGAGAAGCUUGGCAAGGCUCACACCAAGCUUGAGAAAGCUCACUCCUUGUUGUUAGAAGAGAACAAGGAAAAGGUUGUUGUAUCAUGUGAUGUGGGCACAACAUGUGACUUAAUCAAAGAAUCUCCCAACCUACCUAUUGUUGUUGCCACUAACUCUUCUUGUAGGUCUUCAUCCACCACCACCAACUCUACCACCACUUCUAGUGUUAGUGUCACUUGUGAUGCUUCACUAAAGGUUGAGAAUGAGACUCUCAAGAGAGAGGUGAAUGAGCUUACUCACACCCUAGGGAAGGCCUAUGGUGGUGAGGCCCGCUUGCUAAAGUGCUUGGGUAGCCAAAGGUUUUCUCUCAACAAAGAGGGAUUAGGCUAUACCCCCAAGAAGGGCAAGAAAGCCUUUGCAACUCACAAGCCUAGCUUUGUGAAGAGCAAUGGUCGGUAUUGCAAAAAAUGCAAGCAAGUUGGGCACUUAGAGCUUAAUUGCAAUAAAAUGAACAAGAACAAGAAAAUUGCUAAUGCACCUUACAUUCCUUUUGGUUCUUGUUAUGUGCUUACCAAGGGUGAGAAGGGUGUGCAUGCUAAGUUUGUUGGUACACCAAUUGUGGGUCCAAAGAAGAAGGCCAUUUGGGUACCAAAAAGCUUAGUCACUAACCUCCAAGGACCCAAACAAGUAUGGGUACCUAAGAAACAUUGAUUUGUUUUGUAGGUAAACUAUAAAGCCGGAGGAAGGCAUUGGGUGCUUGAUAGUGGGUGCACACAACACAUGACCGGUGAUUCAAGAAUGUUCAAUUCAAUCAAUUCAAAUGAUGACAAUGGUGUUGAUAGUAUCACAUUUGGUGACAAUGGCAAAGGCAAGGUCAAAGGGCUUGGUAAAAUUGCUAUAUCCAAUGACUUGAGCAUUUCCAAUGUGCUACUAGUAGAGAGCUUGAAUUUCAACUUGCUAUCCGUAGCUCAACUUUGUGAUCUUGGUUUCAAAUGUAUAUUUGGAGUUGAUGAUGUAGAGAUCAUAAGUGUAGAUGGCUCAAACUUGAUAUUCAAAGGAUUUAGAUAUGAGAAUCUAUACUUGGUUGAUUUCAAUGCUAGUGAUGCUCAAUUAUCAACAUGCUUGCUCACUAAAUCUAGCAUGGGUUGGUUAUGGCAUAGAAGGCUUGGUGAUGUUGGUAUGAAACAAUUGAACAAGCUAGUCAAGCAUGAUCUUGUUAGAGGCUUAAAAGAUGUCACAUUUGAGAAAGACAAGCUUUGUAGUGCAUGUCAAGCCGAAAAACAAGUUGGCAACACUCAUCCAAAGAAGAGCAUCAUGAGUACAUGCAAGGCAUUUGAGUUGUUGCACAUGGACUUGUUUGGACCAACCACAUACACAAGCAUUGGUGUAAAUAAAUAUGGAUUUGUGAUAGUGGAUGAUUUCACAAGAUAUACAUGGGUAUUCUUUCUUAGUGACAAGAGUGAUGCUUUUGCAACCUUCAAAUCAUUUGUCAAGAGAAUACACAAUGAGUUUGAAACAACCAUCAAGAAAGUGAGAAGUGACAAUGGAAGUGAAUUCAAGAAUACAAGAGUUGAUGAGCUUUGUGAUGAAUUUGGCAUUAGACAUCAAUUCUUGGCCAAGUACACUCCACAAUCAAAUAGUCUUGUUGAGAGGAAGAAUAGAACCUUGAUUGAUAUGACAAGAUCAAUGUUGAGUGAAUACAAUGUGAGUCAUUCCUUUUGGGCCGAAGCAAUCAACACGGCUUGCUACUAUAGCAACCGACUCUAUUGUCACCCAAUGAUGGAGAAAACACCAUAUGAGCUCUUGAAUGGUAGAAAGCCCAAUAUUGCAUACUUUUGGGUUUUUGGUUGCAAAUGCUACAUAUUGAAGAAAGGCACUAGAUUGAGUAAAUUUGAAAAGAAAUGUGAUGAAGGUUUCUUGCUUGGUUACUCCACUACUAGCAAAGCUUAUAGAGUGUGGAAUUUGACUAGUGGUACUCUUGAGGAGGUGCAUGAUGUUGAGUUUGAUGAAACCAAUGGCUCUCAAGAGGAAGAUGAGAAUCUAGAUGAUGUAAGAGGCACCCAAUUAGCCGAUGCAAUGAAGAAUAUGGACAUUGGUGAUUUAAGGCCUAGAGAGGUGAUUGAUGUUGAAGAUGACAAAGAUCAAGUGCUUCCUACCUCUAAUGUGCAAGCUAGUGGUUCUCAUGAUCAAAAUCAAGCUAGUACAAGUGGUACACAAGUGCAAGAUCAACAAGCUAGUACAUCAUCUCAUGAUCAACCAAGUGCAAGCAAUCAAGUACAAAUACUCCAACCAACAAAUAUUGCAAGAGAUCAUCCAUUGGAUCAUAUCAUAGGUGACAUUCAAAGAGGAGUGCAAACUAGAUCAAGAUUAGCAUCGUUUUGUGAGCAUUUCUCCUUUGUGUCUCACAUUGAGCCAAAGAAGAUUGAUGAAGCAUUGAGAGAUGUUGAUUGGGUUAAUGCUAUGCAUGAAGAGCUUAACAAUUUCAAGAGAAAUCAAGUAUGGGAAUUAGUUGAGAGGUCUAGUGAUCACAAUGUCAUUGGUACUAGAUGGGUCUUUCGCAACAAACAAGAUCAAGAUGGGAUAGUUGUAAGAAACAAAGCAAGAUUGGUAGCAGAAGGCUAUACUCAAGUUGAAGGUCUUGACUUUGGUGAAACAUAUGCCCCGGUUGCAAGAUUGGAAGCAAUUAGGAUCUUGUUGGCCUAUGCUUGUGCACAUAACAUCAAGUUAUAUCAAAUGGAUGUGAAAAGUGCAUUUCUCAAUGGCUAUAUCAAUGAAGAAGUCUAUGUUGAGCAACCUCCCGGUUUUGAAGAUGAUAAGAACUCAACCAUGUUUACAAGCUAAGAAAGGCAUUGUAUGGUUUGAAGCAAGCACCUAGAGCAUGGUAUGAGAGAUUGAGAGAUUUCUUACUCUCUAAAGGUUUCAAGAUGGGCAAGGUUGACACCACUCUCUUCACCAAGAAGAUUGGCAAGGACUUGUUUGUGUUGCAAAUAUAUGUUGAUGAUAUCAUAUUUGGAUCAACGAACCAAGAAUUUUGUGAGGAGUUUGGAAACAUGAUGGCUAAUGAAUUUGAGAUGUCAAUGAUCGGAGAGCUUAGUUACUUCCUUGGUCUUCAAAUCAAGCAAUUGAAGAAUGGCACAUUUGUGAGUCAAGGCAAGUACAUAAAAGACAUGCUCAAGAAGUUUGGAAUGGAUGAUGCAAAGGCAAUUAGCACUCCAAUGGGAACAAAUGGAAAUCUAGAUAGUGAUUCAAGUGGAAACAUGGUGGAUCAAAAGUUAUAUCGGUCUAUGAUUGGAAGCUUACUCUAUGUGACCGCAUCAAGACCGGAUGUCAUGUUUAGUGUAUGCAUGUGUGCAAGAUUUCAAGCCUCACCAAGAGAAAGUCAUUUGAAAGCAACAAAGAGAAUAUUGAGGUACUUGAAGCAUACACAAAAUGUUGGUUUAUGGUAUCCCAAACGUGCAAAGUUUGAACUUGUUGGAUAUUCCGACUCGGACUAUGUGGGAUGCAAAGUUGAGAGAAGAAGCACAUCGUGCACAUGUCAACUAUUGGGAAGAUCACUUGUCUCAUGGUCAUCCAAGAAACAAAAUAGUGUUGCACUAUCAAACGCCAAAGCGGAGUACAUUGCGGCCGGUAGUUGUUGUGCACAAAUCCUAUGGAUGAAGGCAACAUUGAAGGACUUUGGAAUCAAUUUCAAAGAAGUGCCAUUGCUAUGUGACAAUGAAAGUGUCGUGAAGCUCACCAACAAUCCAGUUCAACAUUCAAGAACAAAGCAUAUAGAUGUCCGCCAUCAUUUCAUAAGAGAUCACCAACAAAAAGGGGACAUUUGCAUUGAGAGUAUAGGUGUUGACGGUCCUUAAGUAUAAAAUUUAAUUAUCAAAUAAACAAAGAAAAGGAUCUAAAUGAAAUCAACAUUUAGACUUAGGGUUUUAUCUGACAGAAUUCCACGAGUUUUGGUGUUUGUCUAUUUCUGUAGGGGGUUAUCAGGAAAUACGGAAGAAAGGCCCACACGUCAGGAUUACAUAGAGAUAUCAACGUGCCGCGCAAUUAUUUUACAUCUAGAACACUCCAGAAGCCAUGGGAAGGAAGCGGAGGCCGAACGGAGCCAAGACCUGGGCGCCCGCCCAAGUCCUUAGGGCGCCCGCCCUGCUACGGUGGCCAAUCACGUUCAACCUCGCGGAUUAUGCUCCACCGACCUAAAGGAUCAAGAAUAACCGUUCAAUCAAUGUCGGUUUGAUCCGAUGGCCCAGGUUCACUUGAGGGGACUAUAUAACCAGACCCCCUGGCCCCUGGAGGAGGCACCCCUUGAUCAUUAUUCAUUAUUCAUAGACAGAGCAAAAGCUAGCAUUUAGAGAUGAGAGCUCUCCUCUCUUCUCUAAACUAGAGUAGAUCUAGAUAGUAGCAAGAUGGAGAGCGAAGGAGGAUUAGAGGAGAGGCCGGCCUGUCGGUUCUUCCUCCGGUUGUACUUCGUCAUGAUCAAGCUCUAAUCAAGCUUGCUCAUGGGAUGACUCUGGUAAUCUACUUCUAAUUCAUUAUGCAAUUACUAACUAUGUAUGUUCUGGUUCACAACUCUUUUGAGUACUUCUAAUCUAUAGGACGCUAUAGGUUAGAGUUGUAGUAUAGGUGUAAGCGUGGUGCUUAGACCUAGAUUACUUGUGGAUAUCCCCUGUCUAGCUGGAUCGUGUGGUAGGCCGCGUAGGUGACAGUUACGUUGGUCCUCUGUAGUCCACCUCUCGUUAGCAGGACGGGUAUGGUUUAUCGGCCUAAGGAUAAGCAUCCUUUGUGGUGUACUCUUAUCAUGUGGUUCGUCCCAGACAUAGACAUACCCCUUUGAAGUAGAGAAACCAUAGUUAUCCUCUCUAUUCUGCUACCAUCGCCCAUAUACUAGAAUUGCUCUAUUCUCUAUUCCCAUAUUAUCACUCACUGUUAUCUUACCUUUAAUAUUGUUCUUAUUCGAUUCUACCACCUUUCCUGUUUACACUUAUCUAUCCAUCCUGGUUAAGUUAGAGCGUAGUUGGUUCUCCCAUUUCCCUGUGGAUACGAUAAAACCUUUAACCGGGAAAAAGCUAUAACGGUAUCCGUGCGCUUGCGGAUUGUCUGUGUGUGUAUAAAUACCAUAGUACACUAUAGUGCCAUGCUGGAGAUGACAACCUAGUAUUCAAGUGGUGUUAGCAAGUGUCAACAAGCAUUUUUGGCGCCGUUGCCGGGGAAACGGCUGCUGAGUUGACUACGAACUAGCUUAAUCAUUUUCUAAAAAAAAGAAUUAUAUAUAUAUACUUUUCCUUUUAUCAUUUGACUUAUCUCUGCUAUUCUUUCUUCUUAUCUAAUCCUUGAUCUCUGGUCUAUCAUGAAUUCAAACAUGUCUAUCUAUGAAUUUCAUAGACCUACGGGCACACAUCUCGAACCACCAAAAUCUUCAAAGCCUAUCAUAGCAUCUAGUUUUGAGAUAGACCCCGAAUACAUAGAAUUUGUACAAAAACAACCUUUCUCAGGAGAAGGUGAGGAAAACCCAUACACACACCUAAGAGAGUUUUAUCGAGUCUGUGACCUCCUUCGCAUAGAAGGCAUGUCCGAUGAGACCCUUAAAUGGAAGCUCUUUCCGUUCCCUCUAACGGGAAAAGCUAGACAUUGGCACAAACUCAAAAUAGGGAGUGUUCAUGGAGAUUGGAAGGAGUUAUAUAGUAGUUUUCUUUCUAAAUAUUUUCCAAUCUCCAAAGUGGCGGAACUUCGGCGUGAGAUUAUUUCUUUUAGACAACUGGAAGAAGAAUCUCUUAGGAAAUCAUGGGACCGCUUUAUUAACCUUACUCUCACUGGCCCAAAACUUUCUAUUCCAGAAGAAGUUGUUCUAAUUCACUUUUUUGAGGGCCUUAGUGGGGAAAAUAAGCAAACCUUGAAUACAGCCUCUAGAGGAUCCUUCUAUCACCUACCUGCUAGUGAAGCUUGGAAUUUGAUUGGAAAGUCUCCUAGCUUUUAUAUCCCUGAGAAAGAGACAGAACCAGUUCCAAGACAAGAAGAAGAAGUUUCGAUAGCCAGAUCACAACCACUUUAAUUCCAAACUUUAGCUAUCGAUCCUAAACCAUCAAUACCCCAAAAUUCUCCAAGAGAGGAAGGAAUUCCGACCUUAAAUCUUUCAGAUGCUGAUGGUUUAGACUUCUGGUUCCAUAAGAGACCUUCAAGCAGGGAUAAUUCAAAUCCUCGCAAUAAUGAUUCUCUUAGAGAAUGUCCUGGUUCUUAUUAUGAAGAAGUCGAGGAUGACAUAUCAAGUGAAGGAGAGCUAAGCCAUAUUGAAAAUUCUAACACCUCCCCUUUCCUGAUCACAAGUUCUAAAUGGCUAGAAUGUGUAGAAUGGAUAGAUAAGGAAGAAGCCUUAAUGAAUUCUGACUUUGGUUCAAUUUCAAAUGGUGAGUUCUUGACUCCCUUUGAAGAUGGGAUUCAUCCAACUAUAGAAGAGGACAUAAGUGAGACCAAUUCAGGAGAAACUCCAAAUAUUAAGAUUGGAGACGAAGAUAACAUUAAUGAGCAUGGAAUUUAUUUCAUAGCCACUUCAUUCACUCCAUGCUCAUAUGCAACAUCACCACAUUUGAGAUCUCCAACCCCCUCUUCCUUUCUAUUCAUAAAAACUUUAAAAGGGCGGUUGUCGAUGCAUAUGUCUAUAAUAAAUAUUGCAGAUCUCGUUGAGUUGAUCUUGAUAUAGGUCAGCGUUGGAAGGGAAACCACUUCGCCGACAUAAAUUGAUGGUUUCCCAAGGACAAGCUUAGUCUUAAAAUAAGCACUGAUCAGAUCGUAACAUGAGCUUUUAAUUAUUUGCAACAUUACCUUGUGUAUUGAGCAUAUAAGGAUAAUUGUAAAAAUAAUCCUUCGGGUAUUCUUGUCACUAACCUUUACAGGAUUGGAGCAAGAGGAUCGGAUGAGUGACAAGCAUAAGGUAUGUCCAACCAAUCAUCAUACAACAUUGAAUUAAAUUCAUCCAAACUUGAAUUCUGUAAAAUUCAAGCUUGGGGGAGUACUUUACAUAAAAACAUCUUUUGCCAUGUUGCUAUGUUGGUUGUCCCUACCUCUAAGACAUGCUCAAUUUGUUAAAUACUAAUCACACUACUUCAUCUCCACUUGAGUAGAUCUCUAUAAAUGCUGUCAUGCUACCUUUGUCUAUUUACUAGUAAGUGUUAGUUUGGAAGUACUGCACAUACUUCUAUUGGCUUUUAAAUUAAGCAUGGUGCUUAGGUUAAACAGCCUUCCUUAAUCUCAUUAGACAAGGAGUCUAGUUCGGUUAUUGAACUAAAAAACUGCUUGUGUAGACAUUGGUAUAUUUUUGUCGGACUAACCCCUGCAGAAAAACUUUCAAUAUCGAUUUGGAAAGUCCUGAGAUAAACUCACAUCAGAGAUGAAGAGAGUGACACAUGAAGUUUAACAAUUGGCACAAGAAGGACAUAGCUCAUUCAUCAUAGAGAGAUGAUCCAUGGAGGAUGCCACAAACACGAUGCACAACCGCUAAGAGAGGAAAGCUUCCACAAGGUGAUACUGUACCAUCACUCUUCAUGCAAGGUAACAUCUUAAGGUACUUGACUAUCACUUUUAUAAGCUUCUCCUUGGUUCUGGCGUUCAUAUAAAUAAAAGAGACAAAUAUGUAUGAUUUACAACUCUAGAUUAACCAACCCAACUGAGUCAACAUGUUUAGUCCUUUAAUCCUUGUUCUUAGUACUAACUCCAUGAUCCCACACUCCUAAUCAUAUGAGCUAAAAUGUUACACAUUCAAUCAUUGAGAGAUAUAAAGAAAAAGACAUAUACAUAGAUUAUCUUUCCAUAAGGUUGAGCGAUCUGAUCUGAUAAAUGUUAUAAGUGCUACACUCAUGAGCUUUUCAUCGAUCAGCUUUGUCUUGCUCACUAUGCUUAGGGUUAGAGAAGAACAAAUACACUUUAGGUUCUGUUGGUGUUUUCCACCAACAGGACCCAUGCACUUGAUCUCUGCCUUGUCUCUAUGAGCAGGUACACUUCGAGCAAAACACGGAGGAGUUUUAUAACUCUCAGACUCUACCAAGUGAAGGACCUGGAUCUACAAGCACAAACACACUGAGCAGGAUACUGCCAACGCCGCACUUCGAACUGCUGGGCAAACGAAGAGGUGCAGACGUCAAGGUCCGCACCUGAAUCAAAUGACGCACCUGAAGAAUGAACACGGUGAGAAGUCUUGUUAAGAAGACUUAAAACAUUGAACCCACGCCAAAAGGUAAGAUCAGUAGUUAUCCAUAUUUAUCCUUUCUACAUUCCCUUAUCCCUUUAAUUAUUUACUUUCCUUAAAUAGAUUAUUAGUUAAUCAUGCUAUCUUGAAAAGAAAAUAAAAAUUUUAAAAAAAUACUAAGCUUCAUGUGAGUAUAUGAGUGGCAUAAAACCCAUAAGUACCUUCACUGUGGUGGCAUAAAAAUAAAAUAAAUAUUUUUUUUCUGCAUUAUAAAAUAAAAAUAUAAAAACAGGGAGUAAUAUUUAUUGAGGAAGCUCAACAUGAUGAAGGCUAGAUAUUUAUGCUAACACUUAAUUAGUUCCACAAGCUUUGUUGUCUAUUUGAGCUCCAUAAAAUUUAAGAAUCAAGAAGACUAGCAGACGGAGGACAUUCUAAUCGUUGUCAGAAUGCUGCUGACUUUCAAAUACACCUCUGCCACCUGCUAGCUACAUCAAGAGAAAUUACGUCAAAAUUCAGCUUGGGGGAGAGCACCCCCAUUUAUCUCGCUAAGUAUUUCUACCUAUCUUUAUACUUAUAUUAUAUUAGAAUAUUAAAAUACAUAAACUAUGAAAAACCAAUUAAAGAUUUUGUGCUUAUAUAUAUCUUUUGCUUAGUGUGUUUAAUUAAUAAAUAAAGUGGCUAUGCUAAUCUGAAUCUUAAUAAUAAAACUCUAGCAUGUAUAUGAUGAAUAGUUACUCUGCCUAAUUUGCAAAUUUGAAGUUCUCUCUCAAGUUUAGACAUAACUGUUAUAAUUUAAAGCUUGCUCUAGAUCUAAACUUGUGGGAUGAAACCUUGAUCUGAAAUCUAAGUUGUUAACGGAUAUGAUAUGGGAAGGCUGAGCUGCUGUUUAUCUGUUCCUAGAGAUGCUAGAAUUCUGGAGAAUUUUAUCUUUGAAAAAUCUUUAAAAUAUUGCAUGAUGAGUUCCUGUAUGAUGAAAGUUUAAAUUCCUACCACAGCCAUAUAUACAUGCUUGCUAGACUUUGAGCCACACAUUUAUUAUUUACUGCUUAUGAGCAUUGAGUGUGGUCAAGCUGUGUAGACACUUAGGAGCUUGUCAUGUGGUUAAAUCAAGAUUCACUUGCACGUUCACUCAUACAUGCUGCUUCUACUCCAGAAGUACCAUCCACAUAUAUCCACUCAUUUCCAUCUCCAGAGCCACCCAAAAAUAUUCUACUCCUAAUCCGGGAGAGAAUAACCAAAAAUAUUUCUGUUUUUUCCUUGUGAAAUAAAUGCUCAAGUUAUCUUGCUACUACCACAUGCUAUAUUAUCUCAAGAGAUGAGAGCUCUGAAAAAAAAGAAAAAAAAUAAUAAACGAGGAAAUAAAAAGGGGCAAGUGCCCGGAACCUCGAAAGAAAGAAAAAGUGAGACGAGAGGUAAAAAUGGACAAGUGUCCGAAAGUAGAAUUAGGCGUACAGGAUACCCACUUGAGAGGAAAGAAAAAGAAGAGCAUCUCAUUCUCCUCAUAAAGUUUCAAAAAGCAAGGACGGUAUGUAUCCCCUUAAAAGAGCAAAAGUAGAAUUAGACUUCCACCAUUGUUAUCACCAUCAUCACCAUACACCAUUCAUUCGCCACACAUGCACGUCUUGAUUUGACUUAUUGACUUGUUUCUCUGGAUCCAUGGUUUGACUAUGCAAUAAAUGUCUUGUAAGUAUGUAUUAGCUGUCUCCCACCUAUGAGCUCCAGAUAUUAAAGACUUAUUAGAAUAGGGUGAGAGAGAAGACAAUGUCACUAUGCCUUAUACCACAAUUACCAUAUAUCUUGAGAGAAGGCAUAUACCAUCACUGCCUUGGUAAGGAUCUAGAAAUACAACAAAAGAGAGAUUUAGAGAGUCAUACAAGGAAUCUCUGAGUUUUAUUUGAAAAUCUGCAAAAACUCCAGAGCUAUAGCUGAUCAAGAAUAAGAGACAUGGCACUUGGCUAGACUGUUCUAUCUUUUAACUACUCAAGACAGAAGUGACGGUUACAAGUCCCAUGGUGAAAGGUAAAGUAACUAAGUUUUAGUUCUUGACAGUUUACUCUAACUCAGAGAUGAGAUCUUAUUUAAAAGCAUGUGUACCGUCAAAUUUUUAAGAUAUUGCAACAACUUCUGAUCCAUUGCUGAGUCUAUCCUUGCUCAGGGACGAGCAAGAGAUAAGCUUGGGGGAGUUUGUUGACGGUCCUUGAGUAUCAAAUUUAAUAAUCAAAUAAACAAAGAAAAGGAUCUAAAUGAAAUCAACAUCUAGACUUAGGGUUUUAUCUGAUAGAAUUCUACGAGUUUUGGUGUUUGUCUAUUUCUACAGGGGGUUAUCAGGAAAUACAGAAGAAAGGCCCACACGUCGGGAUUACAUAGAGAUAUCAACGUGCCGCGCAAUUAUUUUACAUCUAGAAGACUCCAGAAGCCACGGGAAGGAAGCGGAGGCCGAACGGAGCCAAGACCUGGGCGCCCGCCCAAGUCCUUAGGGCGCCCGCCCUGCUACAGUGGCCAAUCACGUUCAACCUCGCGGAUUAUGCUCCAUCGACCUAAAGGAUCAAGAAUAACCGUUCAAUCAAUGUCGGUUUGAUCCGACAGCCCAGGUUCACUUGAGGGGACUAUAUAACCAGACCCCUUGGCCCC